rnacentral:lncRNA from 1 species
UGGAGUCGAAGAAUGCGACAUCUCAUGAUCAUCAGCAUGUAUGGUGUUGUUAUCUGCAUGGAAGUACUUGAGUUUUGAAAGGUUGAAAAAGGGUCUUAAUGAGCUUGGGAUGUGAAAUUUAUUGUUUGAAACAUCCAACAAUUGGAGGGAUGUUAGACUUUCAAGGGCAGAUAUAUUUCCAGAUAACUGAUUAAAAGAGAGGUCCAAAGAUGCAAGCAAUGUUAGGCUCUGAAUGGCAGAUAUAUUUCCAGAAAAUUGAUUAAAAGAGAGGUCCAAAGAUGCAAGCAAUGUUAGGCUCUGAAUGGCAGAUGUAGUUCCAGAGAACUUAUUAGAAGAGAGGUCCAAAGAUUCAAGCAAUGUUAGGCUCUGAAUGGCAAGUAUAUUUCCAGAGAACUGAUUAGAAGAGAGGUCCAAAGAUGCAAGCAAUGUUAGGCUCUGAAUGGCAGAUAUAUUUCCAGAGAACUGAUUAGAAGAGAUGUCCAAAGAUUCAAGCAAUGUUAAGCUCUGAAGGGCAGAUAUAUUUCCGGAAAACUGAUUGUAAGAGAGAGAUAACAUUUUAAGGGAGGUGAGGUUGGAGAAACACAUGGGUAAGCUACCCUUUAGAUUACAGCCAUUGAUACCCAACUCUUGGAGAUUUGUGGAUUCACAGACAUCUGCAAAAGUAGUAGUAUAUAUGUAUAUAUUUAAGGAGUUUACAAAUAGGUACAAAUCUAAAUAAUAAAUAAAAUAUGUUGAAUUAAUUAGAAUAAUAAUCAAUUCAAUAUAAAAUAUUCAAGAGUGAAAAUUAGAAAAUCUACACGUGAUGGGAUUCGAAUCUAGGCAUUCAAGAUGCUAAGCCUUAAUUCUUUGCCUUUAGUGUGUUUAACCAUUUUUUUUUGGUCCAUAAGGUUUGUAGAAUUUAAAGUUUUAGCCUUUCUAGUUGUGAAAUUAUAAAUUUAAAGACUAAUUGGUGUAUUGUUAAUAAAUUUCUAUUAAAUUUGAAUAUAUGCAUUUUAAUAUUAAAAAAUAGUAGUUAAAUUUUUUUAUUUAUAUAUAAAAUCAAAAUUAUAUAGUGGAUUUGAAUAUCCUUCCUUUAUGGCUUUAUGUGAAUAAGUAAAGCAAAUUCACAUGUAUCUAUCCACGUCCAUUUUGAAUCUGAAUAUUAUCUGAAUUUAUAGCAUUCGAAUAUAAAAGAAGCAUAUCAAAUUUAUAGAUAUAUGAAUCUAUAAUCCGAAUUACCACAUCUAAGAAAAAUUAUAUUUCAAAAUUCAAAAAGCAGCAUAUUUAUAUAUAUUAAAUCUAGAAAUAUAUAAAACUAAAAUGAUGAGUAACUGAAAAUAGAAUAUCUACCAUGCAUAGGUGGACUGUUGUUACCAUCAAUAUCAGAGGCGGUCAAUUUUUUAAGAGAAAUGAGUGGUCCAAAAACUUGAAUAAAGUUUGAAGGUAAAGAUGAAUAAGACAACUCCAACUCUUCCAAACUUCUCAAAUUUAGGCCUUCUGUUCAAUAACAUUAACUGCAAGUUAUAUUUUUUAAAAAAAAUAUGGGAAACAAUGUAUAUUUAUAAAACUAUGAAGAAAAUAAGGAUUUGAAAUUAUGAGUUUCGUUCUGUUCUUUUAUUUUACAUAAAUUGAGAUGUUAGCUUUUUCUGUUUUAAUUUGUCAAAAUUUGGUUAACUGAAUUUUGUAAAUUAAGAAGCUAGUCUAGUUAUUGGUAAUAAUAUAUAUUCUCAUCUUUACAUCCUUUUAUAAUUGUUUUUUGAAAAUAGAUCCUGCAGAAUGCAUUAGUUUGACGGAAAAUUACAACGUUGAAAAAACAAUUUCCUAAAAAAACUUAAACGGCACCUUAGCAUCCUUUCAUAAAUUAAAACUACUAAAUUAAUUAAUGAAGAUUUUUUCUUAAAUCUAGAAAAUGGAUUUAAAACAAAAAUUUGACCUUACCAGUGUAUAUUAUCAAGUAUAUAUUGUUAAGGACAAUUUGAAAUAAAAAAUGACUUAAAAUCAAAUAAAUAUUAUCAUAAGAGGGAAAUUGAAAGAAUGAAAUUACCUUGUCGAGUGAGGUUUUUGUUGACGUUACAGUACAACAACUUUAAACGCUUCAAUGAAGUAAAGUCUGCUGUAACAGAGGCUUUCAAUAUCAAAUAUGUGUCAGAGAGAGAAAGGCAAAUAUAUUAGAGAAAUAUCCCAACAAAAUAUAUACCAUCAAAUUAUGUCUUGUACUCUUUGCACAUUUAAAAAUUAGUCUCUCUACUCUUAAUCUCGAAAAUUUAAUCUCUCUCUUCAUUUGAUUUAAUAAUUGAAAUCCAACUGAUAACAUCAUCAAAGGAUUUUCGUUAAAUUGGAUUACAUGACUUUUUUAAUAUGAAAUAUUUACUCACGUGGCUAAUUGCAUUUUGCAGAUUAUAACAUUGUUUGCAAAUGCUUAAAAUGUGUAAUAAUUUGAUCGAACAAAAAAAAAAUUUACAUGAGUGGAAGGCCAAAUAAACAAAAAUAAAUGUUGAAUCUAGUAUCGUAGAUUUUCGAUUUCGAAUAUAGAAUUGUAAGGUUCUUAGCUUUGUUUCAAAGAAAGGAGAGUGAAUACCGGUAUUUUUUAUUUUUCUGACAUAAUGUGCCCUUAAAUUGGCAAUAUGAGCAAAAUUUUCUGCUUUAAAAAUAUCACUCAAUCCAAAUUAAUAGAAUAGAAAAUAGAGUAAUUAAAUUUAAAAAAUGCGAAGAGUAUAAGGACUGCAUGCAUAAUUAGACCUACACGUAUAAAUUAAUUGUUUGUAAGAAAACAUCAAAACUUACUAUUGCGGGAAUAAGAAGCCAUUGUGGUUUCAUUAAUAUUAAAUCCAUCCAAAGAAAGAGUGUUCAAAGUGGGGAAGAAGCCCAAUGAUUGUAAUGAGAAGCUACAACCUGCAUCUGCAUCUGCCUCUGUAUAUGCAUCUGCAUGUCAAACAAUGCUUUAUUUCAUUAGAAUAUGUGUAAUUAGCAAGUCAGGGCAAAUAAAACAAAUCUUUAUUUCUGUUUCCUCUUCUUCAUAUCUAUCCCCAAAGUAGAGUUUAACAUUACAUGAUUUCUUUUCUUCUUCUUUUUUCUCUCAAAUUUUUAAUUUUUGCAUUACCUAUAUAGCUGGCCAUAGUCAGCUCUUCCAAUUUGCCCAAACCAUAUAAAUCUGAGGAGAAUCAGAAAUUGAAAAAUAGUUUAGUUCAAAUAAAGCUUAUGAAUUUAUAUUACUCAUUCAAUACUUCUUUUUUCUUCCUAAAAAGAAGAGGAUGGGGAGAAGGGUGAUUUUUACCUUUCAUAUCUAUUAAUCCAUUGCAUUGAGAGAUACCUAUGCUCAAAGUCUUUAGAUUCGGAAGUGUAGCAAGAGAUGCCAAUAUACUAUUGUUGAAACCAUUAUUACUCAAAUCAAGAUGUUUCAAAUUCAUCAGCCUUAGUCCUGCACCAUUAUCAAGUAACAACAUUUUUAGUUAUUUUAUUCCAUAUGAUAUUUAAUUUUUAAAAUUUUGACACGUGCCUCUUUUUUUAAUAUUUUAUUAUAUCUCUAUAGAACACUUGUUAACCCAAUGACUUUACUUAUGGAGUCUAAAAUCCCUAAGUUUAUAAUAAAUUUAACAAUACCAAAAUUUUAAAAAAAAUAGAUUUAAUGUUAAAUUGAGAAUUUUAAAAAAUCAUAAAUACCUUGAGAUGGAAUAAAUCCAUUCACUUCAUUAUAGUCUAAGAUCAACUCCUCUAAAUUGCUGAGAGCAUUUAAAUCUGAAGAUAACGUUAGAAAGGAAACUAAAAAUAAGUUUAUUUUGUUUAGCAUGUGAAAACUAAUAGCAUAUUAAUUUAAAUAUUUAAAGCAUUCAUAAUGGGAACUAUUCAUUUAGUCUACUAUAUUAUUUGUGUUAGAUUUUGAACAAAGUUAUUUUCAAUUCCCACUUAAUCUCUUUUAUUAUGUUAAUAAUAUAUUAUUCUUUUGUAAAUGUGAAAGCGAGGUUUUCGAUUAAGUUUUGGCCUAACUUGAAUGGGUUUAUUCAGUUCAACUUAUGAAAUAUCUAUUGUCAAUGGUAAAUAUUUGGUUAAGUGUUCAAAUAGAGAUGAAACCUUUUAUGAGUUGCAUAUGAAUCAAAACUUUAAAAGUAGUUAAGUAAAAGUUAAGUCUGCGUCAUACAAUAGAGAAACCUUACACAAUGACCAAAUAAGAGUUGAACCUUUUCAAUUGUGCUCAAAUAAGGAUUUUUCAAAUACCAUAUAAUAUAUUUGAAUUUUUUUUCUUUUCAAAUAAUAUCUUAUUAAACCAUGUGUGUUUUAUUCUAAACACGUUAGCAUUCAUCUAAUAAUUUUUACUUUCAAAAGGGCAUGAUUUUUUUACCGUUUUGAAAGGUAAUUAGGUGCUUGCAUAUAAAUAUUAACAAUUUAUUUAAUAUAUGUCUAAUUAAUUGGAAAAUGGAUGAAAAGCAUUUAAUUGUGAAAGGAAAAUUACAAAUAAAACUAAUAACAAAUCAUAUAAAAUCAAAAGAUAUCAUAUUCUUACCUUUUGUAUAUAUUGCCCCCUCCAAUUGGUUACCAGAUAAAUCCAAUGACUUUAAAUUCGAGAGCUCAACAAGGGAUGAGAAUACACUAUUGUUAAAGAGAUUACCAUUUAAACUAAGUACCUCAAGUUUGUUGAACUUCAUUCCUUCUUUUUCUAAAAAGAAAAAAAAAGUUAAUGUAAUUUCAUCUUAAAAAAGAUAAUAUGUUGGAACAACGAUUAAUAAAGCCAAGUGAUUUACCAUGGAAUAGUGACCCAAGGCUCUUAAUUUCAUUUCCCCCUAAAUAUAGCUCCUUCAAGUUCAUCCAAUUAUUAUUGCUUUCUGUUCAUAUCCAAUGAAAAUAUAUGUAAGUUAGUCAAGUUAUUUAAAAAGGGAUAUAUAACAUUUAGUCCCUGAAUUUUGUAAUUUUCUCCAACUUGGUCCUUGAACUGUUUUUUGUCCACAUUAGUCUUGGAAUUUAACAUCUUUCCAUAGCUUUGGUCCAUGAGAUGAUGCUGCACUAUGAGAUUGUGUCAUGUCAUCACCUAAAUUCUUGAAAAAUUGCUAAAUUCCAGGACUAAUGUCUACCAAAAAAGUUUAUAGACUAAGUUAGAAAAAAUUACUAAAUUCAAGGACUAAAUGUAGCUUUACCCUUAUAAAAACAACUAACUAAUAAGCUUUCUAUUUUUUUUAAUCAAAUUAAGCAUGAUAUUCAAAAAGGAAACAUGCCUUGUAUAUCAAGGGUUCUUUUUAGUUCGCAAUACUCCAAACGCAAUGAUUUUAAAGAGGCAAAACCAUCUAGUUGUGAUAGGAUGUUAUUUGCUAAACGGUUGAAAGAUAAAUCCAAAGUUUCCAAAUUGUUCAACUUUGAUAACAUCUCAAUACCUGCCAACAAUAAUAUUAAAAAAAGGGACAAAACUACUUUAAACUUGGAUCAGCUCUGCAUCAUAUAUAAUUAAAUAUUAACUUUACCAUUGGUAGGAUUUGAUCUUGUGAAUACAUUUCCAGCUAGAUUUAAAGACUUAAGCGAGGAAAGUUCACUUAAGGAUGCUAAAAUGCUAUUGUUGAAAUGAUUGUUACUCAAGUCAAGAUUCUCCAACUUGUCCAAUUUCGAUGACAGCCUUUCGAAACCUACAAGGAAUAAGGAAAUAUAGUAAAUUAGCAAUAUCGGGGGACAGGGUCUUGGCUCCAAAAAAUAUGGUAAAUUUUCAGUUUAGUCCUUACCAAAACUGUAAAUUGAUGCAAUAAUAAAAUUUCAUUUCAACGAUGAACAAGUAGUUGAAAUGAUUUUUUUGACAUACAAAAUAAUAAAAAGAAAUAAAUGUUCGUAAUAAAGUUGAAAGGUAAUAAACCUUGAUUGGCAACACAGCCGGUUAUGAAAUUCCCCCUUAAAAAAAUACUCUGUAAUUUCUCAAAAGGAAGAAACAAAGAGGCAUUAAGAUACCAAUCUAUCUCCAUGUUACUGGAAUAAUUAAGGAAAAGAUGGGUGACUCGUCUAGUUAUUGGGUUGCAUUCAACCCUUUCCCACUCACAACAAUUUGAUGAACUCUCUUUUUCAUAUACGAAGUCAUCAUUGAUUAGAUCUUGAAACUUAUAAUCAAUGAACUCAAAGAAAGGUUUGAGUUGGAAGAGAGCAAAUCUUUCUUCCUCUAAGCAACCAUCACACAGCCCAGAACCUAACGAUAACACUACAAGAACCAUGGCUAACCAUUUCGACUCCAUCUCACCACUUUAUGCUUUUGUAGCCAAUGCAGCAACCCCUUUAUAUGCUAAAAGAAAAAGGAAGAAGGCUUCAUGCUUCCAAGAAAUUCAUUCACAAUCGCUUAAAUUGUUUACUUUGUUUUUCAACUUUAUCAUUGAUAUUUUCAUGGAACCCUCUCAUUUCUCUCUUUUUUCCACAUUAAAGAUACACAUGUUAAUGCAUAUGGCUAAUAAGGUGUACAGUCAGUCAAUCCCGUGUGGACCACUAUCUUUUCUUUGCUUUCUUUUCGUACACAGCACAGACUCCUCCAAAUUCAGGUGCCAUUGUUUCUCGUCUUUCAUCAUCCUAAAUGCAUUUGCUUUGCUGAUUUAUUGUGAUAAAAUAAGUUUUAUUAUCAGGAGAAAACCAUUAAAAAAUUAAUGUAUUAUUAAAAAGAUUAAAUAAGACCAAAUAGGAAUUAUAGUUAACAAUCAUUGUUUAAUACAAACAUAAUAAUUAUUUUUUCAUUUAGAAUUCAACACCAAACAAAAUAAUAUACCUUUGUUAAAACAAUGAAUGAUGUUUUUAAAUAGUAAAUGUUAACUUUGUUUAAAUUUGGCUUUAUAUAAUUUUUCAAUAAUAUAGCGACUAAAUUAAUCCAUUUAAUAGUAGAAGGAUGAAUUUGAUUUGAUCGCUAUAACAGACAGAGGGACCUACCAAGUACAUUCAUCCUUUUCUAUAUAUAUGAUUUGAUUAUAGUAGAUGUCCCAAAACUAUGAUCCAUGUUUUAAAUUAGACUUCAAAUUUCAAGAUACUCUAAUUAAGUCAAUAGAUUAUCAAUAUUUCCAUCAAUCUGGGCAUCAUAAAGGGAAGUAAAUACUAACUUAGAUAUGAGAUGGAUCAUAUUUAAAAUAUAUGAAUCAAAUUUUAAUGACAACUUUGAUAUAACAUGUUAAAAAGAAAAAAAAGAAGAGCUCUCUUAAAUUUUAAUGACAUUAUUUUAUAUUGAAGACCUUAUUCAUACAACAUUCAACAUAAUUGUUAAAUAUAUACACAAUGAAAUAUACUAAUAUUCAACAUUCAAAUUGCAUAUAUAUUCAAAAGCAAAUAUUGAAAAUUUCUUAAUAGAUGACGAUACACGUACCCUUUUCCUUGGUAGUGUAGUUAUAAUACAAGAAGCAUAGUCAACCAUUUUGACUCCAUCUUAGCACUUUAUGCCCUCAUGCUUCCAAGAUACUCAUUCCGUAAGGGGGUAUUAGAAUGAGGAAUUUUAUUUUUUAUCAAAGUUUUUAAAAAUUUAAAAGGGAAUUUACUUGUUUAGAUAAAAAAUUUAAAAUUUAUAACUAAUUUCAAGAAAGGAUUUUAAUAGCUCAAAUUUCCUUUUCAAAUUUCAUCUAAAGAAGUGGUUUUUCAAAAUAUAUUAUAAUUUUAUUUCAUUUAAUAAACAUGGUUCCAGUAUAUGAUAAAUACUACAACUUCAAAAAAUUAAUACAUUUUUAACAAUUUUAUUUUAUUAAAAAUAUUUAUAAAUUUUACAAAUAGUUUUAUAUUAAUAAUGAAUAUUAUUUAUUUUUAGUGUAAUUAUUCUUUAAUUCAUAAAAAAAAUCCAAUAACUCAUUUUUGUUAAAACAAUUAUUCAUGUUAUCAAUAAUUCUUUAAUUCGUAAAAAUCCUCAAUUAAAUUUAGUAAUAACACAGUCUAUUUUUUAUUAUGCAAAGAAUAAUUAGAUUUCUAAAUGUUAUCCGACGUGAGUACCUGGACCUACAGGCACAAUCACCCAGGGAAGGAUGUAAGGUGAUGACUGAUGCAGAUAUUUCUCGGGUAAAGAUGUUUUUGAAACUUAAUUAAAUGCUUUUCAUUUUCAAGUAAACAGUUUCCAUGCUAAUUUCAUCAGAUGAUUAAGUUGUUCUCUGGAGAAGAGUGGUACAAUCAACAAGCAUCAAGAGCUGUAAAUCAGUCAGUCGGACGAGUUAUCCGUCACCGUCAUGAUUAUGGAGCAAUUAUCUUUUGUGAUGAAAGGUAUUUGCUUUCUAUUGCCUUUCCUUGUGAUCUUUCAUCUGAGUAUUCUCCAAGUAGUAAAUGCUUGAAACUGUUAUAUUAACAGUUUCUGUUCGAUGUGUUCCCUUCAACUCUCUUUCGGAGACAUAUUAUAUCUAGUAUUGCUUUUCUCUUCCCCUACUGAGGGGUUAAAACUGUUACUCUGGUGCUUAUUAAUACAUUGAUUUAACUGAUUAAAAGCCCCAGUUGUUAAAUUUAGCAUUUAGUGGUAAACUUGGAUGUACUACCUUAGUUUACAUUAUCAUCUGGACCUGACCAAGCAUGAAGCGAAAAGUUUUCUCAGUUUGGAAGAAUAAGACCUAAGCUGUAAACUUGGGAAGUUGAAGGCUCACAAGCGAUUAAUUAAUCAAGAUUUUUUCUUAAAUCUAGAAAAUGGAUUUAAAACAAAAAUUUGACCUUACCAGUGUAUAUUAUCAAGUAUAUAUUGUUAAGGACAAUUUGAAAUAAAAAAUGACUUAAAAUCAAAUAAAUAUUAUCAUAAGAGGGAAAUUGAAAGAAUGAAAUUACCUUGUCGAGUGAGGUUUUUGUUGACGUUACAGUACAACAACUUUAAACGCUUCAAAGAAGUAAAGUCUGCUGUAACAGAGGCUUUCAAUAUCAAAUAUGUGUGAGAGAGAGAAAGGCAAAGAUAUUAGUGAAAUAUCCCAACAAAAUUAUGUUUUGUACUCUUUGCACAUUUAUAAAUUAAUCUCUCUACUCUCUACUCUUAAUCUCGGAAAUUUAAUCUCUCUAUUCAUUUGAUUUAAUAAUUGAAAUCCAACUGAUAACAUCAUCAAAGGAUUUUCGUUAAAUUGGAUUACAUGGCUUUUUUAAUAUGAAAUAUUUACUCACAUGGCUAACUGUAUUUUGUAGAUUAUAAUAUUGUUUGCAAAUACUUAAAAUGUGUAAUAAUUUGAUCGAACAAAAAAAAGUUUACAUGAGUGGAAGGCCAAAUAAACAAAAAUAAAUAUUGAAUCUAGUAUCGUAAGAUUUUCGAUUUCGAAUCUAGAAUUGUAAAGUUCUUAGCCUUGUUUCAAAGAAAGGAGAGUGAAUGUGGGUAUUUUUUUUUUUCGGACAUAAUGUGCCCUUAAAUUGGCAAUAUAAGCAAAAUUUUCUGCUUUAAAAAUAUCACACAAUCCAAAUUAAUAGAAUUAAAAAUAGAGUGAUUAAAGUUAAAAAAUGCGAAGAGUAUAAGGACUGCAUGCAUAAUUAGACCUACAUGUAUAAAUUAAAUUUGUAAGAAAACAUCAAAACUUACUAUUGCGGGAAUAAGAAGCCAUUGUGGUUUCAUUAAUAUUAAAUCCUAGCAAAGAAAGAGACUUCAAAGUGGGGAAUAAGCCCAAUGAUUGUAAUGAGAAGCUACAACCAUCUGCAUGUCAAACAAUGCUUUAUUUCUUUAGAAUAUGAGUAAUUAACAAGUUAGGGCAAAUAAUUUAUACAUUUGCUUCAAAUGUCUAAUUACCUGUAGUGCAGGCCAUAUACAGCUCCUCCAAAUUACUCAACCCAUAUAAAUCUGAGGAGAUUCAGAAAUUGAAAAAUAGUUUAGUUCAAUUAAAGCUUAUGGAUUUAUAUUACUCAUUCAAUACUUCUUUUUUCUUCCUAAGAAAAAAAAAACAGAAGAUGGAGAGAAGGGUGAUUUUUACCUUUCAUAUCUGUUAACCCAUUAAACAGAUAGACACCUACCGACAAAGUCUUUAGAUUUGAAAGUGUAGCAAGAGAUGACAAUAUACUAUUGUUAAAACCAUUACCACUCAAAUCAAGAUGUUUCAAAUUCAUCAGCCUUAGUCCUGCACCAUUAUCAAGUAACAACAUUUUUAGUUAUUUUAUUCCAUAUAAUAUUUAUUUUUUAAAAUUUUGACACGUGUCUCUUUUUUAAAUAUUUUAUUAUAUCUCUAUAGGACACUUGUCAAUUCAAUAACUUUAUUUAUGGAGUUUAAAAUCUCCACCAGUACUAUACCAAAUAUUAUUUCCUAAGUAAUUUAUAAUAAAUUUAACAAUAACAAAAUUUUUAAAAAAUAGAUUUAAUGUUAAAUUGAAAAUUUUAAAAAAAAAUCAUAAAUACCUUGAGAUGGAAUAAAUCCAUUCACUUCAUUACCGGAUAAGAUCAACUCCUCUAAAUUGCUAAGAGCAUUUAAAUCUGAAUAUAACGUUAGAAAGGAAACUAAAAAUAAGUAUAUUUUGUUUAGCAUGUAAAAACUAAUAGUAUAUUAAUUUAAAUAUUUAAAGCAUUCAUAAUGGAAACUAUUCAUUAAGCCUACUACAUUAUUUGUGUUAGAUUUUGAACAAAGUUAUUUUCAAUUCCCACUUAAUCUCUUUUAUUAUGUUAAUAAUAUAUUAUUCUUUUGUAAAUGUGAAAGCGAGCUUUUCGAUUAAGUUUUGGCCUAACUUGAAUGGGCUUAUUCAGUUCAACUUAUGAAAUUUCUAUUGUCGAUGGUAAAUAUUAGGUUAAGUGUUCAAAUAGAGAUGAAACUUUUUAUGAGUUGUACAUGAACCAAAACUUUAAAAAUAGUUAAGUAAAAGUUAAGUCGGCCUCAUACAAGAGAGAAACCUUACACAAUGACCAAAUAAGAGUUGAGCCUUUUUAAUUGUGCUCAAAUACCAUAUAAUAUAUUUGAAAUUAUGUUUUUCUUUUCUUUUCAAAUAAUAUCUUAUCAAACCGUGUGUGUUUUAUUCUGAACACGUUAACAUUCAUCUAAUUUUUACUUUCAAAAGGACAUGACUUUUUUUUUUUACAGUUUUGAAAGGUCAUUAGGUGCUUGCAUAUAAAUAUGAACAAUUUAUUUAAUAUAUGUCUAAUUAAUUGGAAAAUGGAUGAAAAGCGUUUAAUUGUGAAAGGAAAAUUACAAAUAAAACUAAUAACAAAUCAUAUAAAAUCAAAAGAUAUCAUAUUCUUACCUUUGUAUAUAUUGCCCCCUCCAAUUGGUUAUCAGAUAAAUCCAAUGACUUCAAAUUCGAGAGCUCAAAAAGGGAUGAGAAUACGCUAUUGUUCAAGAGAUUACCAUUUAAACUAAGUACCUCAAGUUUGUUGAACUUCAUUCCUUCUUUUUUUGAAAAAAAAAAGUUAAUGUAAUUUUAUCUUAAAAAAGAUAAUAUGUGGAACAACAAUUAAUAAAGCCAAGUGAUUUACCAUGGAAUAGUGACCCAAGGCUCUCAAUUUCAUUUCCCUCUAAAUACAGCUCCUUCAACUUCAUCCAAUUAUUAUUGCUUUCUGUUCAUAUCCAAUGAAAAUAUAUGUUAGUUAAUCAAGUUAUUUAAAAAGAGAUAAUAUAACAUUUAGUCCCUAAUUUUUGUAAUUUUCUCCAACUUGGUCCUUGAACUGUUUUUUGUCCACAUUAGUCUUGGAAUUUAACAUCUUUCCAUAGCUUUGGCCCAUGAGAUGAUGUGGCACUAUGAGAUUGUGUCACGUCAUCACCUAAAUUCUUGAAAAAUUGCUAAAUUUCAAGACUAAUGUCGACCAAAAAAGUUUAUAGACUAAGUUAGAAAAAAUUACUAAAUUCAAGGACUAAAUGUUACUUUACCCUUAUAAAAACAACUAACUAAUAAGCUUUCUAUUUUUUUCAAUCAAAUUAAGCAUGAUAUUCAAAAGGGAAACAUGCCUUGUAUAUCAAGGGUUCCUUUUAGUCCGCAAUACCCCAAAUCCAAUGAUUUUAAAGAGGCAAAAUCAUCUAGUUGUGAUAGGAUCUUAUUUCCUAAACUGUUGAAAGAUAAAUCCAAAGUUUCCAAAUUGUUCAACUUUGAUAACAUCUCAAUACCUGCCAACAAUAAUAUUAAAAAAAGGGACAAAACUACAUUAAACUUGGAUAAGCUCUGCAUCAUAUAUAAUUAAAUAUUAACUUUACCGUUGGUAGGAUUUGAUCUUGUGAAUACAUUUUCAGCUAGAUUUAAAGACUUAAGCGAGGAAAGUUCACUUAAGGAUGCUAAAAUGUUAUUGUUGAAAUGAUUGUCACUCAAGUCAAGAUUCUCCAACUUGUCCAAUUUCGAAGACAACCUUUCAAAACCUACAAGGAAUAAGGAAAUAUAGUAAAUUAGCAAUGUCGGGGGACAGGGUCUUGGCUCCAAAAAAUAUGGUAAAUUUUCAGUUUAGUCCUUACAAAAACUGUAAAUUGAUGCAAUAAUAAAAUUUCAUUUCAACGGUGAACAAGUAGUUGAAAUGAUUUUUUUGACAUACAAAAUAAUAAAAAGAAAUAAAUGUUCGGAAUAAAGUUGAAAGGUAAUAAACAUUGAUUGGCAACACAGCCUGUUAUAAAAUUUCCCCUUAAAGAAAGAUUCUGUAAUUUCUCAAAAGGAAGAAACAAAGAGGCAUUAAGAUACCAAUCUAUCUUCAUGUUGCUGGAAUAAUUAAGGAAAAGAUGGGUGACUCGUCCAGUUAUUGAGUUGCAUUCAACCCUUUCCCACUCACAACAAUUUGAUGAACUCUCUUUUUCAUAUACGAAGUCAUCAUUGAUUAGAUCUUGAAACUUAUAAUCAAUGAACUCAAAGAAAGGUUUGAGUUGGAAGAGAGCAAAUCUUUCUUCCUCUAAGCAACCAUCACACAGCCCAGAACCUAACGAUAACACUACAAGAACCAUGGCUAACCAUUUCGACUCCAUCUCAGCAGUAGUUUAUGCAUUUGUAGCCAAUGCUGCAACCCCUUGUGCUUUAUAUGCUACAACUGAAAGGAAGAACCCCCUCAUGCUUCCAAGAAAUUCAUUCAUAAGGGUCCACUUAUCACUUAAAUGGUAUACUUUUUUGUUUUUCAACUUUAUUAUUAAUUAUUUUUCAUGGAAACCUCUUAUUUCUCUCCUCUAUUAAUUUGGAUGUGAUACAAUAUUGAUAAACUAGUAUCAAAUAUCCUCUACAUACCUCGGGGUUUAAAUAUGUUCUUAUCAAAUUUGAAUUGAUAAUUAAUGCUCAACUUUAAGAUAAUAGAAAGACUUUAUUGAUACAGUACUCAACAUAAUUAUAAAAUAUAUAAAUAAAUUUUUUAAAAUGAUUUAUGUUGGAUAUUAUUUAUGAUGCCUGUUUAUUGUAACUUCCUUAUGAAGGUGGAAAAUGUAGAUAUUUGUUUCGAUAGUUUGAGUUAUUAUUGAGAAGACCUUGACUUAGAUGAUAGCAUAGUAAGGACAUGUUGUUUGAUUGUGAAAUUGUAAUCUAUUUCGAAUUCAAAUAUUAUUUGAAUAUAAGAAAAGCAGAUCAAAUUUAUAGAUAUCAUCUGAAUCCAUAAUCUAAAGUACCACAUCUAAGGAAACUAAAUUUAAAAAUUCAAAAAACUUUUUUCAACAAUUAAUCUAUACUAUAAUUUUACUAUAGUUGUUGUACUUCGUGGGUUUGUAGGUCUUAGUUCAAUAGUUAUUUGUGAACUGCUGGAAAUUGUGGAAAGCUGUAGGCGACUUAAGGUAUUCCAAAGGCAAUUCAACAUUUCAUCAUUGCAGUAAUUUUCACAUACGUUGAAAUCAAGAAACUCAUUUAAAUUCCCAACAUUCCCAGUUGCAAUGGGGCUUUAACUUAUUUGCAUAUUUGAUGUUGACUUCAUUAAAUAUUGAACAUUGAUCCCAUUCCACAUAUAAGAAAAUGAUAUAAGAGAAGAGGGAAACUUCCAAGUCAAGCUUUGUUUAUAUUACAAACGUAUAAACCAAGUUUAAAACAACUAAAUAUAUUAAUAUUUAUGAUGGUAACUUUCCUAUGAAUUUUUGUUUGAAGGUGAAAAUAUGAACUUUUGUUCCAAUAGGUAGAAUUAUUAUUGAAGUGAUGGCCACGAAUUGGAUCUAUUACUAAAUAAAUUUCCAUAAAUAAAUCUUUAUACCCUUACUAUAUUAAUUAUCUAUGUAUUUUUCAUUUACUUUAUUUAUAAGAUUAAAUAUAUUUGGCUUCUUUCAAUAAAAAUCAUGUUUAACUUUGAAUCCCAUGUGAUGGCCUGAUGGCUAGGGGUGUGCACUGCCUCAAGUGUGGCCUGAGUUUGAAUCAUAUUAAUCGUGUUGAUUGUUUUGGCUUUACCUUAUUAUUGUAAUUCAGCAAAAAAUUAAUAUUUAACUACAAAAUAUUUUAAAAUUAUAUUUAAGUUAGUUAUAUAUUGAUGUUGACGUGAAUUUAUUAAAUUAUUUUAUAUAAAAUUAAUUAGUUACCAUUAUUAAAAAGAUUAUAAUUGAAAAAAUUGAUUAAAAUAUAAAUUUGAAAAAAAUUAUUAAGCCCCUAGUGCUUCCAAGAAACUCAUUCCACAAAGGGUCCAUUCAUCCCUUAAAUGGAUUACCUUUUUUCCCCCAACUUGAUUAUUGAUAAUUUCCAUGGAAAAGCCUCUUUUCCAAGUCUUCCAUUAAUUUGGAUGUGAUAGAAUACUAACAUUUACAUGACUGGUAAUCACCCACCGCUUACGCCGGGGUUUAAUGAAACAAUUUUUAUUAUUUAUUUAAUAUUAAAUUUUGUUUAAAAUUUAUUAAAUAACAAUUAAUUAAUUAAAACUGAUUAAAUAUUAAUUAAUUAUUUAAACUCUUUUUUUUUUAUCAAAUAUGCUAUGUUUUUGUUCAUUAUAAAAUUUGAAUUUAUGAAAAUAUAUGAGAACCUUAUUUAUUCGCAAGUUAUUUUAUGUAUAAUUCAUUUUAAAUUAAUUUUAAAAGUGAAUAUUCAAAUCAACCCUUGUGUCGGUAAAUAAUGUUGAGUAUGAGUUGGGUGAUUUACCCAGGCCAAGCAAGAUUUAUUGACCUCAAAUCAAUAUGAAAUCAAAUUAAAUAAUAAAAUAUUUAAUUUAAUUAUAAAAAUAUUAAUAUUCUAUAAAAAUAAUAUGUGAAGCAUAAAAUCAGAUUAUGAAAUUAGGUGAAGCUGGCCCAACUUCACGACUAGACAUGCAAACUUUGUGCAUUCUACGCUACAAGAACUAGGAAGAACCCCUCAUGCUUAAAUGGUUUACUUUUUGUGCUUUAUAUAGUAUUAGUCAAAUAAAAUGGGAACAAACGUUGAAGAAUGAGAAAAAUGGGCGACUCCAGAGUCCAGAGGCAUGGGCAUCAAAUCAUGCUGCUUGAAUGGCAGAAUAGAAAUGGGAGCAACAAAUGUUUGGGUUUUAUUUAUUAAGGUUUUGAACUUUGAGUUUGAUCAUGCUUGGGUUUGACUAAACAACUAUAUGACUAUAUGACUAAACAACUCGAGCCUUCUCAGAAAUAUUCCUCAUGUUUCACUCCGUCUAUGGAUUUGAAUAAGUUGAAGCGAUCUAAUGAUCGAAGAAAAAUGCAAUCUCAAAAUCAUGACGUUAUAAGUUCAGAAACUUAUGUUUGGAGAGUCUAGAGAAAUUAAAUUGAAACGACUUGUAUGACAUACAUUAGUUCCCUCUUUAAUUGUUGGAACUAUCUUCCCUGUAAUGAGUUCUGUUAAUUUGUCUUUUGCUGCUUUCUCUUGAAUGCAGGCUAACUCUUUUGGAUUUUCACUUUCCUAGCUCGUAGCAUUAACUGAUUCGGAUUAGGGAUUUUUAUGAAACCUUCUCUGCCUUCAGGUCAAACAGAAACUUAGUCCUGCAGCAUACAAAGAUUUUGUGGGUUAUAGGAAGGAAAUAGUCCAAAGUGGUAAAAGAUUGGUAAUCCUCUGCAAUGCAUUGGGGAGUUAUUUUCAGGACCUGAGAGGCUUCCUCUUCUUGAAAGGUAUGCAUCUACUCCAAAAUUGUAUUAAAAUUGAAGACUGUGAGCAGUUACGUUACAUUGUCAGUAAGGCAUUGUGAAAAAUAAUUUAGUUGGCUUAACCAUGUAUACAUUGAGCAGACACUUUCUGAUACUCAUCCAGUUAAUGGCAUAUUGUGCGGUUUUAGGUUUCAUUGGAAGCUUGGCAAAAUUAAUUUCCUAUUCUCAGCAUGAGUUAAUGAUUUAUAAAGCUAAGCCCAACAUUGUCUGAAAUCAUCAAAUAUGUUAGAGCCUUAAAGGCUGCAAGUGCCAUCAGAGGUCUUAUCUGCAACACUAGCAAAGAAACAAAUUGCUCGUUUACACCAUACCUAAACUACUGUCUACUGAUAUUCUUUAGCCUGUCAUUCAUUUCCAUCCCCCUUGUUAGCUUGCAACUACUAUCGAUUACUUUUACUGGAUCUUACCCUCUGUUGUCAUCUGUUACAGAUUCAAGGAUUACGUGCCUGCCAGAUAUCGUUCUUUGUAUGAGGAGUACCUCGAAAGAAGUAAAAGAAAUGCCUGAAAAUCAGAGGAACUAAACUUAUCUGGUCGAAACAGUAAUUAGACGAUGCCAUUUGCCAAUGUGAUCGAUUAGAAGUGAAACUUUGAGACUUUAGCAGCAUGAUACUUUCUAGAUCAACAAUCUUUGAAGAAACAUACAAACAUUAUGGAAGGUUUGAAUGUAGUAAACUGCAACUUUGCACAGCGAUUGGAAGCUUUUGGAUGCAUAAACGAGCAACCAAGUUGCUCAUUUGUGUGUGGAGUAAAGAAACUUAUUCAACAUGAAGGUGGUGUUACACAUAGCAAGCAAUCUUUUCAUAAUUAUUUGUUGCUACUACUGAAAUUAUGAAGGACUAGACCUGGUGACAACUUACAUUUUGUACAAAUUGGUAUCAAACCAACUGAAAUAGAGUGAAACUAAGAAUGUGGCUCGUGGGAGUUUUUGUUCAGUUCCAGAAAAGCACUUUAAAUCCAUGUCUUUACACAGUUAUUCCAUAUAAACAUGGCUUUGCAAUCGACAAUUUUAUACCCUUGUAAACUCUUUUAUCGGAAAUCGCCAUUGCUUUGCUACAUGUUUCCAGUACAAAAAUUUCUGGGGAAAUUAUCUACCACAAAAUAGUAGCAGGAAUCAGCGGCCAUUUGAAUAUAGUAAAACCAUGCUUGCCUCCAAUAAGGAUUUAUGUACAGCACAGCUGCGAUGCACAAUAGAACCAUCAUGUAACAUGCAAAGAAGCUUGCAUAGAAGGCAUCCACAUCAAUGAAACCAUGGUCUUCUUUGAUGCCAGAUGAAGCCUUCCGUGUCAAUGGUGUUGUGACCGGUGAACAAUUUUUUCCCACCAAUGAGCCACGAAGAAAAGGAUUCCCGACGUAGUUGCUUUCAUCAAAUGCUCCCAACUGUCCAAUCCUUUCAGGUGUCUUUCCAGAUAAAUUGUUGUAUGACACAUUGAAGUAUUCCAGGAAAUGUAACACCGCAAAUUCGGCAGGGAUAUUCCCUGUCAAAUUGUUGUAGGAAAGAUCUAGACUUUCCAUGUCCUUGAGGUUAGAAAAUGCUCGUGGCACUGGUCCGGUCAAGCUAUUGUGAGAAAGGUUCAAUGUGAAGAGUUUCAUAAUGUUUUUUGUCUCAAAACUAAUUUCACCGGUAAGCUUGUUGCAGGAGAGAUCAAUUCCAGACUGUUAAAGUUAGUUCCCAUGCAACCAGCUUCCCAUGCAAAGGUGGCCAUGCAGAAGAAUACGUUGCAGGCAUUCGAGCCUUGGUCUGCAGGAACUGAAGCCUUAAGCUUAAUGUUGCCGAUCCACUUGGUGUUUAUGGUUGCUUUUUGAUUAUUUUGUAAUUUAGUUCAUGUUGAACUAAGUAGGUAAAUGUUUUGGUAUUGAUUGAUUGAAAAAUCAGCAAUGCAAGUGGUACAAGCUAAUCUUGUAAGUUUCAAUGCAAAUUAGUGGUGUUAGGUAAUUGAUUAGGUGAUUACUUGUUUGUUUUACUUGUUGACUAUUAUAUGUAAUGGCUUAAUGCCUUGUUGGAGUGUUAAUGAAAAUAUCAGCUUACUUUCAUUCAAUUUUUCUCUCUUCUUCUUGUUCUUCACUAGCUAGUUUCAUUUUCUGCUUUGUUUCUGAGUUUGUUUCUUCAGCAAGGCUCGAGGCUUGCUAUCCAAGCAAGACCAAAACAGUCUGCUGCUGCCUCUUUGCACCAAAAAUUGGUAUCUAGAGCCUUUGUCUUAGUGGACCUAUUGCUUCAAAUCAAGGAACCUAAUGGCUUCUUCAGGAUUUUCACCAGCAGCCCCACCAGUCUUCAAUGGGGAAGGCUUCCACAUAUGGCUGGUAAAAAUGAAGACUUACCUGCAGGCUUUUGAUCUGUGGGAAGUUGUCAACACAGAUGCUGAGCCAGCACCACUGAGGGCCAAUCCCACAGUAGCUCAGAUCAGGCAACAUGCCGAUGAAAGGACUAAAAGGCACAAAGCCAUGUCUUGCAUCCAGAACUGUGUGUCAGAUGUCAUCUUCACCAGAAUUAUGGCCUGUGAGACUCCAAAACAGGCAUGGGAUAAGCUUAAGGAGGAGUUUCAAGGUACUGAAAAGACAAGGCAACAGCAGCUGUUGAAUUUAAGAAGGGAUUUCGAGAAUCUGAAGAUGAGGGAAGAAGAAACAGUGAAGCAGUAUGCAGAUAGAAUCAUGGUAGUGGUUAACAGCAUAAGGCUCCUUGGUGAGCACUUUGAUGAGGCAAGAAUAGUGGAGAAAGUCCUCUCCACUUUGCCUGAGAGAUAUGAGGCAAAGAUAUCCUCCUUAGAGGACUCAAGAGACCUUGCUAGCAUCUCUUUGACUGAGCUUAUCAACACCUUUUAUGCUCAGGAACAAAGGAGAGCUAGCAGAGCUGAAGACCACCAGGAAGGUGCAUUUCAAGCCAAGACAAGAGAGGCCUCGAGCACCAAUGCUCCAAGAGGCAAAAAGCUUUGGAAAAGCAGGCCUAAGCCUGAUGCUGCAAGGAGUAAUGAUCAGCCCUGCAGAUAUUGUAAAAGAUCUGGACAUCCAGAAGAUAGAUGCUGGUUUAGGCCAGAUGCAGUAUGUCAACACUGCAAGAAGAAAGGCCAUGUUGAGAGGGUUUGCAAAAACAAAACCAAGCCAAGGCAGAGCCAAUUUCAACAACCAAAUGUUGAAGCUCGAGUAGCUGAGGACAGUAAUGACCUGGAAGAGCAGGUCUUUGCUGUUUCUUGCUUAGCUACUGAGAAGAAAUGCUCAAAAGGGUGGCUACUGGACAGUGGCUGCACCAACCACUUGUCACCAGAUUCAUCUUUGUUCAAAACCUUGGACAGAAGCUGUAAAACUAAGGUUAAGGUUGGAAAUGGUCAGUUUAUAAAAGCUGAAGGAAGAGGAGAAGUGCUGAUAUGUACUCCUACAGGCAACAAAGUCAUUUCAAAUGUCCUGCUGGUACCUGAGAUUGACAGAAAUCUUCUUAGCAUUGCUCAACUGCUUGAGAAAGGCUAUUCUGUUGUGUUUAAGGACAAAUACUGCCACAUAGCUGAUCCAAGUGGAUCAAGCCUUAUGACAGUCACAAUGACUGAUAAAUGCUUUGAGGUCCAUUGGUCAAAUGACUCAAAGUCAGCAUACACAGCCUUUACAGAUGAUUCCAAGCUCUGGCAUCAAAGGCUCGGGCAUGCCAACUUCAGAUCAAUGGCUCAAAUGGCCAAAGAAGGCUUGACAGAGAACUUCACCAGCUCAGUGGAGCAUGAUGAUGUGUGUGAAGUGUGCCAGAUGGGAAAACAAGCAAGACUGUCAUUCCCAACAAACUCAGCAUGGAGAGCCACUGAAAGAUUGCAGCUGGUGCACUCUGAUGUAUGUGGACCUAUGAGGACUGAAUCACUCAGCAAAAACAGGUAUUUCAUCCUCUUCAUUGAUGAUUUUACAAGGUUUUGCUAGAUUUUCUUCUUGAAACACAAGUCUGAGGUAGCUCAAGUGUUUGUGAAGUUUAAAACUGCUGUAGAAACAGAAACAGGCUGCAAAAUAAAAUCGAUAAGGUCAGACAAUGGCACUGAGUACACUUCAGCUCAGUUCCAGGCCAUUUGCAAUGAUGCUGGCAUCAAACACCAGCUUACCAAUGUCUACACACCUCAGCAGAAUGGGGUAUCUGAAAGGAAGAACAGAAGUCUUAUGGAUAUGGCCAGAUGUCUCCUGUUUGAGAAGAAAAUGCCCAAGACCAUGUGGGCUGAGGCAGUAAACACUGCCGUUUAUCUGCAAAAUAGGCUCCUCACCAAGGCCCUUCCACACAAGACACCUUUUGAGGCAUGGUUUGGCUUCAAACCUUCAUUGGCACACCUGAAGGUGUUUGGUUGCCUGUGCUAUGCACAAAUACCAGCAGCAAAGAGGGACAAGCUCUCAAAAAGGGCUCAACCAGGUAUCCUAGUUGGCUAUAGCUCAGACAAAAAGGGCUAUAGGGUUCUGGAUCCCUUAACAUGCAAAGUUCAGGUAAGUAGAGAUGUUGUCUUUAAUGAAAAGGCAUGCUGGAAUUGGGAAAAGAAUGAACCAGAGGCAGUUUCAGAGGACCUGGUGCCUAAUCAUGCUGAAUUCGAGCACCUUGGUCCUGAAAUGGAUGUUGAUGAUGUGCCUGUGAGAGGAACAAGGCCCUUGGAUGAGAUUUAUGAAAGAGCACAGAUUGCUAUAGCAGAACCAACCAGUUUUGAAGAGGCCGAGUCUGAUGAAGGCUGGAAGCAGGCUAUGGUUGAUGAAAUCAACAUGAUACAGAAGAACCAAACAUGGGAGUUGGUCGAUAAGCCUGCUGGAAAGAAGGCCAUUGGAGUGAAGUGGGUCUAUCGAGCUAAACAAAAUGCAGAUGGCAGUCUUAACAAGCUAAAAGCCAGGCUUGUUGUCAAAGGUUUUAGCCAAAGGUAUGGUUUGGACUACUUGGAGACCUUUGCACCAGUAGCCAGACUUGACACUGUCAGAAUGAUAGUUGCUUUGGCUGCUCAAAAUCAGUGGACCAUUCAUCAGCUGGAUGUGAAGUCUGCAUUUCUCAAUGGCUUCCUAGAAGAAGAGAUCUACAUUGAGCAGCCUCAAGGGUUUGUAGUCACUGGUGAAGAACACAUGGUCUACAGGUUAAAAAAGGCCUUGUAUGGCCUGAAACAAGCUCCUCGAGCCUGGUAUGCUCGAAUCGAUUCCUACUUGCUCAGUUUGGAAUUUGAGAGAAGUGCCAGUGAACCAACUUUGUAUGUGAAGAAAAAUCAAGCUGAGACUCAGCUUAUCUUGUCACUCUAUGUUGAUGAUUUGUUAGUAACUGGAGGAGACAAAAAUAUGCUGCAUGAUUUCAAGAAGAAAAUGAUGAAAAUGUUCGAGGUGUCUGAUCUAGGCAGAAUGAAUUACUUUCUAGGAAUGGAAGUAAGACAAAAUACAACUGGAAUCUUUCUCAGCCAGAGUUCUUUUGCUAUGAAGGUCUUAAACAAGUUCUCAAUGAAGAAUUGCAAGCCAACAAGCACACCAAUGGCUGUUGGAAUGAAGCUAUCAAGGUAUGAAACUGGUGAACCAGUUUGUGAGACUAUUUACAAGAGUCUCAUUGGUAGUCUAUUGUAUUUGACUGCAACAAGGCCCGACAUUAUGUUUGCAGUUAGUGUGCUAUCCAGAUACAUGAAUUGCUGCAUAGAUCUGCACUUUCAAGCAGCAAAAAGGGUGCUGAGGUACAUCAAAGGCACCAUCAAUCAUGGUGUAAUGUUCAAAAGGGUUGAAAACAUGAAGUUAGUAGGAUAUGUUGAUAGUGAUUGGGCUGGAUCGAGUGAUGACAUGAGGAGCACAUCUGGAUACUCAUUUAGUCUUGGCUCAGGCAUGUUUUGCUGGAGUUCUAAGAAACAAAGUCUGGUGGCACAAUCAACAGCAGAAGCUGAAUAUGUUGCUGCUGCAUCUGCUGUGAAUCAAGCCAUAUGGCUUAAAAAAAUCUUGGCUGAUUUAAACCAAAACCAAGAAGAAGCAACAGAGAUUUACUGUGACAACAAAUCUGCUGUUGCAAUUGCAAAGAAUCCCAUCUUUCAUGGCAGAACCAAGCACUUCAAUAUCAAAUUACAUGUUAUAAGGGAGAUGGAAAAAGCUCAUGAAAUCGAGCUGGUUCAUUGCAAUUCGGAGGAGCAAAUUGCUGACAUUUUUACCAAGGCACUCAAUGUGCCAAGGUUUAUAAAAUUAAAAGGGAAGCUAGGCGUAACCAACAUAGAAACUAAGGAGGAGUGUUAAAGUUAGUUCCCAUGCAACCAGCUUCCCAUGCAAAGGUGGCCAUGCAGAAGAAUACGUUGCAGGCAUUCGAGCCUUGGUCUGCAGGAACUGAAGCCUUAAGCUUAAUGUUGCCGAUCCACUUGGUGUUUAUGGUUGCUUUUUGAUUAUUUUGUAAUUUAGUUCAUGUUGAACUAAGUAGGUAAAUGUUUUGGUAUUGAUUGAUUGAAAAAUCAGCAAUGCAAGUGGUAUAAGCUAAUCUUGUAAGUUUCAAUGCAAAUUAGUGGUGUUAGGUAAUUGAUUAGGUGAUUACUUGUUUGUUUUACUUGUUGACUAUUAUAUGUAAUGGCUUAAUGCCUUGUUGGAGUGUUAAUGAAAAUAUCAGCUUACUUUCAUUCAAUUUUUCUCUCUUCUUCUUGUUCUUCACUAGCUAGUUUCAUUUUCUGCUUUGUUUCUGAGUUUGUUUCUUCAGCAAGGCUCGAGGCUUGCUAUCCAAGCAAGACCAAACAGUCUGCUGCUGCCUCUUUGCACCAACACAGACAUGUAUUGAAGCAUUCUUCUCUUGUAAUUGUAGGAUCUGCUCUUUACUGUGUAUUCUAUUGAAACUUCAAUGGACGUCGAGCUACUUAUGUUGAAAUUAGAACUUCGAUGCAAAAUAUAUUGCUCUGUUACAUAGUUCAGCGCAGAAACUUUUAAACAAUAAGGAAUACCACCAGAGAGAUUGUUUUGAGAAAGAUCAAUCAAGCUUAAACGAUCCAACUUGCAUAAUUGAAUUGGAAUUUCACCCUCAAAGUGGUUUCUCCUUAAGAGAAGAUAACUUAAUUCAGAAAGAUUGCUAACCCAAUUUGGAAUGUUACCCUUCAAGUGGUUGUAGCUGAGAUCCAAUGUCACCAACCAAGAGCUAUCAUGAAAAGCAUUUGGUAACGCUCCUUGUAGCUUAUUUUUAAAUAAAUGAACUUCCCUCACCAAUACCGGCUUGAAGCAAGAUGGUAGAGUCCCAGAUAAACUGUUCAUGGAAAGGUCCAAAAAUUGAAGUUUGAGAUUGAGACUACAAAUUGCCCUUGGUAUUGAACCUUCAAGUUGAUUAUCUGCCAUGGCAACUUGUUCCAAAUUCGAAGCAGAUCCCCUCCAUUGUGGCAACCUACCAAAGAGUUGGUUCCUGCUCACAUCCAAUGCUGCUAGCUCUGACAUAUUCCAAAUCCAACUUGGGACUUCACCAUAGAUAUAGUUAUUGCUAAGAUCUAGUAUAUACAAGUCAGAGCAGUUAGCUAAGACAUUUGGGAUCAUCCCAGUGAAGUUAUUUCCGUUUAAUUCAAGCUCCAACAAGCUCGUUAGAUUAAAAUUUCCUGAGAAAAUUGUUCCUUGUAAUUUGUUAUUUGAUAAUGCAAGGAAUUCUAAUGAAGAGCAGCCCAUAGCCAUGUGCUCAGGUAUCUCUCCAGACAAUUGGUUGUUUGAUAAGUUCAAAAGAUGUAGGGAACUCAUAUCACCAUAUGAAGAGGGAAUGCUGCCAUUGAAACAAUUCUUUGACAUGUUCAAAUAAGCCAAAAAUGGUAGGUGUGCUUCAAUUCUUACUGGGAUGUUGCCACCGAAGGCAUUGUUGGAGAUAUCCAAAUAUGAUAAAGCAGAAUGCACACGCGAUGGCACUUGAAAAGGCCCUGAUAGAGAGCAAUUCACGAGAUACAGGGUCCCUAGCAUCGUGUUGUUGUCUAACAACCAAAACGGAAAUCGAUCCACCUUGAAAUAUGUGUUUGAGAGAUCGACAUACUGCAACUCACUUUGAUGGUACAAGAAUUUUGGAAAUGACCCAACACUUCCACAACAAGAUAAGCUGAUGAAACUCAAUUGGAACCUUGGAGCCGAAGAAUGCGACAUCUCAUGAUCAUCAGCAUGUAUGGUAUUGUUAUCUGCAUGGAGAUACUUGAGUUUUGAAAGGUUGAACAAGGGUCUUAUUGAGCUUGGGAUGUGAAAUUUAUUGUUUGAAACAUCCAACGAUUGGAGGGAUGUUAGACUUUCAAGGGCAGAUAUAUUUCCAGAGAACUGAUUAGAAGAGAGGUCCAAAGAUUCAAGCAAUGUUAGGCUCUGAAUGGCAGAUAUAUUUCCAGAGAACUGAUUAGAAGAGAGGUCCAAAGAUUCAAGCAAUUUUAGGCUCUUAAGGAUAGAUAUAUUUCCGGAAAACUGAUUGGAAGAGAGAGAUAACAUUUUAAGGGAAGUGAGGUUGGAGAAACACAUGGGUAAGCUACCCUUUAGAUUACAGCCAUACAUGUCCAACUCUUGGAGAUUUGUGAAUUCACAGACACCUGCAAAAGUAGUAGUAUAUAUGUAUAUAUUUAAGGAGUUUACAAAUAGGUACAAAUCUAAAUAAUAAAUAAAAUAUUUUCAAUUAAUUAGAAUAAUAAUCAAUUCAAUAUAAAAUAUUCAAGAGUGAAAAUUAGAAUAUAUUCAAAUCUAAAUCAAAAUAAAUUUAGAUAAAACUCAUACAUAAUGGGCUUUAAACUUACAAUUAUUUGGGAGAGAAUCUACAUUUGAUGAGAUUCGAAUCUAGGCAUUCAAGAUGCUAAGCCCUAAUUUUUUGCCUUUAGUGUGUUUAACUUUUUUUCUCUGGUCCAUAUGGUUUGUAGAAUUUAAAAUUUUAGCCUUUCUAGUUGUGAAAUUUGAAAUUUAAAGACUAAUUGGUGUAUUUCUAAUAAAUUUCUAUUAAAUUUGAAUAUAUGCAUUUUAAUAUUCAAAGGUUUGAUUCAAAAAAAUAGAAGUUGUUAAUUAAUUAAUUUAUUUAUUUAUAUAUAAAAUCAAAAUUAUAAAGUGGAUUUGAAUAUCCUUCUUUUAUGGCUUUAUGUGAAUAAGCAAAGUAAAUUCACAUGUAUCUAUCCAUAUCCAUUUUGAAUCCAAAUAUUAUCUGAAUUUAUAGCAUUCUAAUAUAAAAGAAGCAUAUCAAAUUUAUAGAUAUCUAAAUCUAUAAUCCGAAUUACCACAUCUAAGAGAAAUUAUAUUUCAAAAUUCAAAAAGCAGCACAUUUAUAUAUAUUAAAUCUAGAAAUAUAUAAAACUAAAAUGAUGAGUAACUGAAAAUAGAAUAUUUACCAUGCAUAGGUGGACGGUUGUUACCAUCAAUACCAGAGGCGGUCAAUUUUUUAAGAGAAAUGAGUGGUCCAAAAACUUGAAUAAAGUUUGAAGGUAAAGAUGAAUAAGACAACUCCAACUCUUCCAAACUUCUCAAAUUUAAGCCUUCUGUUCAAUAACAUUACCUGUAAGUUAUAUUUUGAAAAAAAAAUAUGGGAAACAAAGUAUAUUUAUAAAAUUAUGAAGAAAAUAAGGAUUUGAAAUUAUGAGUUUCGUUCUUUUAUUUUACAUAAAUUGAGAUGUUAGUUUUUCUGUUUUAAUUUGUCAAAAUUUGGUUAAUGUAGUUUGUGUAAAUUAAGAAGCUAGUCUAGUUAUUGGUAAUAAUAUAUAUUCUCAUCUUUACAUCCUUUUAUAAUUUUUUUUUGAAAAUAGGUCCUACAGAAUGCAUUAGUUUGACGGAAAAUUACAACGUUGAAAAACCAAUUUCUUAGAAAAACUUAAACGGCACCUUAGCAUCAUUUCAUAAAUUAAAACUACUAAAUUAAUUAAUCAAAAUUUUUUCUUAAAUCUAGAAAAUGGAUUUAAAACAAAAAUUUGACCUUACAAGUGUAUAUUAUCAAGUAUAUAUUGUUAAGGACAAUUUGAAAUAAAAAAAUGACUUAAAAUCAAAUAAAUAUGAUCAUAAUAGAGAAAUUGAAAGAAUGAAAUUACCUUGUUGAGUGAGGUUUUUAUUGAUCUUACAAUCCCACAACUCUAAACGCUUCAAUGAAGUAAAGUCUGCUGUAACAGAGGCUUUCAAUGUCAAAUAUGUGUGAGAGAGAGAAAGGCAAAGAUAUUAGAGAAAUAUCUUAACAAAAUAUAUACCAUCAAAUUACGUCUUGUACUCUUUGCCCAUUUAAAAAUUAGUUCCUCUACUCUUAAUCUCGGAAAUUUAAUCUCUCUAUUCAUUUGAUUUAAUAAUUGAAAUCCAACUGAUAACAUCAUCAAAGGAUUUUCUUUAAAUUGGAUUACAUGGCUUUUUUAAUAUGAAAUAGUUACUCACGUGGCUAACUGCGUUUUGUAGAUUAUAAUAUUAUUUGCAAAUGCUUAAAAUGUGUAAUAAUUUGAUCGAACAAAAAAAAUCACAUAAGUGGAAGGCCAAAUAAGCAAAUAAAAAUGUUGAAUCUAGUAUUGUAAGAAUUUUGAUUUUAAAUCUUAAUUGUAAGAAUUUUGAUUUAAAAUCUAGAAUUGUAAGGUUCUUAGCUUUGUUUCAAAGAAAGGAGAGUGAAUGCAGAUAUAUAUAUUUUUUAUUUUUCUGACAUAAUGUGCCCUUAACUUGGAUAUGAGCAAAAUUUUCUGCUUUAAAAACAUCACACAAUCGAAAUGAAUAGAAUAAAAAUAGAGUAAUUAAAUUUAAAAAAUGCGAAGAGCAUAAGGACUGCAUGCAUAAUUAGACCUACAUGUAUAAAUUAAUUCAUAAUAUUUAGUUUGUAAGAAAACAUCAAAACUUACUAUUGUGGGAAUAAGAAGCCAUUGUGGUUUCAUUAAUAUUAAAUCCUCCUAAAGAAAGAGUCUUCAAAGUGGGGAAUAAGCCCAAUGAUUGUAAUGAGAAGCCACAAUCAUUACCUGCAACUGCAUGUCAAACAAUGCUUUAUUUCUUUAGAACAUGUGUAGUUAACAAGUCAGGGCAAAUGAUUUAUACAUUUGCUUCAAAUGUCUAAUUACCUGAAUUGCUGGCCAUAUACAGCUCCUCCAAAUUACUCAACCCAUAUAAAUCUAUUAAUCCAUUGCAUUGAGAGAUAUCUAUCCUCAAAGUCUUUAGAUUCGGAAGUGUAGCAACAGAUGACAAUAUACUAUAGUUGAAACCAUUACCACUCAAACCAUUACCACUCAAAUCAAGAUGUUUCAAAUUCAUCAGCCUUAGUCCUGCACCAUUAUCAAGUAACAACAUUUAUAGUUAUUUUAUUCCUUAAAAUAUUUAUUUUUUAAAAAUUUGACACGUGCCUUUUUUUAAUAUUUUAUUAUAUCUCUAUAGGACACUUGUCAACCCAAUGACUUUACUUAUGGAGUCUAAAAUCUCCACCAGUAAUAUACCAAAUAUGUUCCCUAAGUUUAUAAUAAAUUUAACAAUAACAAAAUUUUUAAAAAAUAGAUUUAAUGUUAAAUUGAGAAUUUUAAAAAAUCAUAAAUACCUUGAGAUGGAAUAAAUCCAUUCACUUCAUUACCGGAUAAAAUCAACUCCUCUAAAUUGCUGAGAACAUUUAAAUCUGAAGAUAACAUUAGAAAGGAAACUAAAAAUAAGUAUAUUUUGUUUAGCAUGUGAAAACUAAUAGUAUAUUAAUUUAAAUAUUUAAAGCAUUCAUAAUGGGAACUAUUCAUUAAGCCUACUACAUUAUUUGAGUUAGAUUUUGAGCAUUCCCACUUAAUCUCUUUUAUUAUGUUAAUUAUAUAUAUAUAUUUCAAAAUAAUAUUUAUUCUUUUGUAAAUAUGAAAGCGAGUUUUUCGAUUAAGUAGUGAAAUUUUUAUUGUCGAUGGAAAUAUUAGGUUAAGUGUUCAAAUGGAGAUGAAACUUUUUAUGAGUUGCACAUGAAUCAAAACUUUAAAAAUAGUUAAGUAAAAGUUAAGUCUGCCUCGUACAAGAUAAACCUUACACAAUGACCAAAUAAUAGUUGAACCUUUUCAAUUAUGCUCAAAUAAGAAUUUUUCAAAUACCAUAUAAUAUAUUUGAAAUUAUUCUAAACACGUUAGCAUUCAUCAAAAUAUUUUUACUUUCUGCAAAUAAAUAUUAACAAUUUAUUUAAAUAUGUCUAAUUAAUUGGAAAAUGGAUGAAAAACAUUUAAUUGUGAAAGGAAAAUUACAAAUAAAACUAAUAACAAAUCAUAUAAAAUCAAAAGAUACCUUAUUCUUACCUUUUGUAUAUAUUGCCCCCUCCAAUUUGUUAAAGAAUAAAUCCAAUGACUUCAAAUUCGAGAGCUCAACAAGGGAUGAGAAUACGCUAUUGUUCAAGAAAUUCAGUCUUAAACUAAGUACCUCAAGUUUGUUCAACUUCAUUCCUUCUUUUCCUGAAAAGAAAAAAAAGUUAAUGUAAUUUCAUCUUAAAAAAGAUGAUAUGUUGGAACAACAAUUAAUAAAGCCAAGUGGUUUACCAUGGAAUAGUGACCCAAGGCUCUCAAUUUCAUUUCCCUCUAAAUACAGCUCCUUCAAGUUCAUCCAAUUAUUAUUGCUUUCUGUUCAUAUCCAAUGAAAAUAUAUAUUAGUUAAUCAAGUUAUUUAAAAAGGGAUAAUAUAACAUUUAGUCCCUGAAUUUUGUAAUUUUCUCCAACUUGGUUCUUGAACUGUUUUUUGUCCACAUUAGUCUUGGAAUUUAACAUCUUUCCAUAGCUUUGGUCCAUGAGAUGAUGUGGCACUAUCAGAUUGUGUCCUGUCAUCACCUAAAUUAUUGAAAAUUUUGCUAAAUUUUAGGACUCAUGUCGACCAAAAAAGUUUAUGGACUAAGUUAGAAAAAAUUACUAAAUUCAAAGACUAAAUGUUGCUUUACCCUUAUAAAAACAACUAACUAAUAAGCUUUCUAUUUUUUUUCAAUCAAAUUAAGCAUGAUAUUCAAAAAGGAAACAUGCCUUGUAUAUCAAGGGUUCCUUCUAGUCCACAAUACUCCAAACGCAAUGAUUUUAAAGAGGCAAAACCAUCUAGUUGUGAUAGGAUGUUAUUUCCUAAACGGUUGCCAGAUAAAUCCAAAGUUUCCAAAUUGUUCAACUUUGAUAACAUCUCAAUACCUGCCAACAACAAUAUUAAAAAAAGGGACAAAUCUACUUUAAACUUGGAUAAGCUCUGCAUCAUAUAUAAUUAAAUAUUAACUUUACCGUUGGUAGGAUUUGAUCUUGUGAAUACAUUUUCAGUUAGAUUUAAAGACUUAAGCGAUGAAAGUUCACUUAAGGAUGCUAAAAUGCUAUUGUUGAAAUGAUUGUCACUCAAGUCAAGAUUCUCCAACUUGUCCAAUUUCGAUGACAACCUUUCAAAACCUACAAGGAAUAAGGAAUUAUAGUAAAUUAGCAAUGUCGGGGUACAGGGUCUUGGCUCCAAAAAAUAUGGUAAAUUUUCAGUUUAGUCCUUACCAAAACUAUAAAUUGAUGCAAUAAUAAAAUUUCAUUUCAGCGAUGAACAAGUAGUUGAAAUGAUUUUUUUGACAUACAAAAUAAUAAAAAGAAAUAAAUUUUCGUAAUAAAGUUGAAAGGUAAUAAACCUUGAUUGGCAAUACAGCCGGUUAUGAAAUUCCCCCUUAAAGAAAGACUCUGUAAUUUUUCAAAAGGAAGAAACAAAGAGGCAUUAAGAUACCAAUCUAUCUUCAUGUAGCUGGAAUAAUCAAGGAAGAGAUGGGUGACUCGUCCACUUAUUGGGUUGCACUCAACCCUUAUCCACUCGCAACAAUUUGAUGAACUCUCUUUUUCCGGUUUUGACUCAUAAUCUAGAUCUUGAAACUUAUAAUCAAUGACCUCAAAGAAAGGUUUGAGUUGGAAGAGAGCAAAUCUUUCCUCCUCUAAGCACCCAUCACACAGCCCAGCUCCCAAGGAUAACAGUACAAGAACCAUGGCCAACCAUUUCAACUCCAUCUCACCACUUUAUGCAUUUGUAGCCAAUGCAGCAACCCCUUUAUAUGCUAAAAGAAAAAGGAAGAACGCUUCAUGCUUCCAAGAAAUUCAUUCACAAUCGCUUAAAUUGUUUACUUUGUUUUUCAACUUUAUCAUUGAUAUUUUCAUGGAACCCUCUUAUUUCUCUCUUUUUUCCACAUUAAAGAUACACAUGUUAAUGCAUAUGGCUAAUAAGGUGUAUAGUCAGUCAAUCCCGCGUGGACCGCUAUCUUUUCUUUGCUUUCGUUUCAUACACAGCGCAGACUCCUCCAAAUUCAUGUGCCAUUGUUUCUUGUCUUUCAUCAUCCUGAAUGCAUCCACAGUGGUUUCUUCAGUUUCUGAUUGUUGCUGCUUUGCUGAUUUAUUGUGAUAAAAUAAGUUUUAUUAUCAGGAGAAAACCAUUAAAAAAUUAAUGUAUUAUUAAAAAAAAUUAAAUAAGACCAAAUAGGAAUAUAGUUAACAAUCAUUGUUUAAUACAAACAUAAUAAUUAUUUUUUCAUUUAGAAUUCAGCACCAAACAAAAUAAUAUACCUUUGUUAAAACAAUGAAUGAUAUUUUUAAAUAGUAAAUAUUAACUUUGUUUAAAUUUGGCUUUAUAUAAUUUUUUAAUAGUAUAGUGAUUAAAUUGAUCCAUUUAAUAGUAGAAGGAUCAGUUUGAUUUGAUCGCUAUAACAGAGGGACCUACCAAGUACAUUCACCCUUUUUUAUAUAUAUGGUUUGAUUAUACUAGAUGUCCCAAAACUACGAUCUAUGUUUUAAAUUAGACUUCAAAUUUCAAGAUAUUCUAAUUAAGUCAAUAGAUUAUCAAUAUUUCCAUCAAUCUGGGCAUCAUAAAGAGAAGUAAAUAUUAACUUAGAUAUGAUAUGGAUCAUAUUUAAAAUAUAUGAAUAAAAUUUUAAUGACAACUUUGAUCUAACAUGUUAAAAAAAAAAAGAAAAAAAGAACUCUCUCUUAAAUUUUAAUGACAUUAUUUUAUAUGAAAGACCUUAUUCAUACAACAUUCAACAUGAUUCUUAAAUAUAUACGCAAUGAAAUAUACUAAUAUUCAACAUUCAAAUAGCAUAUAUAUUCAAAAGCAAAUAUUGAAAAUUUCUUAAUAGAUGAGGAUACAAUUCCUUUUCCUUGGUAGUGUAGUUAUAAUACAAGAAGCAUAGCCAACCAUUUUGACUCCAUCUUAGCACUUUAUGCCCUCAUGCUUCCAAGAUACUCAUUCCGAGAGGGUGUAUUAGAAUGAGGAAUUUUAUUUUUAUCAAAGUUUUUAAAAAUUUAAAAGAGAAUUUACUUGUUUAGAUAAAAAAUUUGGAUAAAAAAUUUAAAAUUUGUAAUUAAUUUCAAGAAAGGAUUUAAUAGCUCAAAUUUUCAGAGGUGGUUUUUUAAAAUACAUUAUAAUUUUAUUUCAUUUAAUAAACAUGGUUCCAGUAUAUGAUAAAUACUACAACUUCAAAAAAUUAAUAUAUUUUUAACAAUUUUAUUUUAUUAAAAAUAUUUAUAAAUUUUACAAAUAUUUUUAUAUUAAUAAUGACUAUUGUUUAUUUUUAAUGUAAUUAUUCUUUAGUUCAUAAAAAAAAUCCAAUAACUCAAUUUUUGUUAAAACAAUUAUUUAUGUUAUCAAAUAAUUCUUUAAUUCGUAAAAAUCCUCAAUUAAAUUUAGUAAUAACCCCAGCUCUCAACUUAACUUCCUUCCAAUAACACAAUCUAUUUUUUAUUAUGCAAAGAAUAAUUAGAUUUCUAAAGGUUAUCCGAUGUGGGAAUGUCCCAAUUUCCAACCAUAAAUAAUUUAAAGGUAUAAUUAAGAAAGUCAAUUUUAAACUUUGUUAUAUCAAAUUACAUUCUCUUUUAAUUUUGCUAAUUAACAAUUUAAUAUUUAUGGGUUUUUUAAAUUUACAACCCUUAAAUAGGAGGAUAAACACACUUCAAUAUGUUUAAACUCACGUUUUCCUAUGCUAACAAUGUUGUCAAUGCUAAUCGAGCUAAAACUUAAUCAGCUUGUGAUUUUUUUAAAAUUUUUUUACUGAAGAUGUUUAAUAAUAAUCUUUAGAAAUUCAUUUUUUAAAACUUAUAAUAAUCUUUAAUAAUAAACGUGCAAACAAAAUUCUUUCCUUUUUUUUGGCCUUUUAUCUUUUACUUUUCCCAUCAUUUCAUUUUUUUUUUCAUCUUGAAAGCACUAAAAACAAUCGUUGGAUACAUAGGUUAGGCUAAGCUACAGUGCCUCACAUGUGUAUCUUGUUUUUAUAAUUUUUAAGGGAUAAUUAAUUUAUUAAUUUUUGGUCCUUUAACUUAGUAAUUUUGUUUACUUUGUCACUUAUACUUUCUUUUUGUCCAUUUUAACAUUUAAACUUAACAAUUAAAUUCAUUUUGGUCCUUGAACUUACAAAUAUAAAAGUUUGAUGUUAUCACACAUUAAGAUUAUGCUGCAUGUAACAGCUCGAUUUUCAGUGGCAUCGGAAAUAAUAGUUCGAGGCCACUAAAUCCGGAAAAUAAGUUUGUAAAUAUUAUUAUGUAAUAUUUAUGGGUCAAAUAUGAUUUUAGAAAGAUUUUUUUUUGAAUUAAAAAUUAGUGUUUUAUGAAGAUUUAUUUGGUUAAGUGGUUUUAGAAAAUGAGCUGUUCUAUAAGCCAAGCCGUAAAUAUUUUUAUAAAUAUUUACGGAGUGUCAUUAAGGUGGUAUUAAAGUUUUAUUAAGGUGGUAUUAAAGUUUUGAUAGUUAAUUAAUUAAAAAAGACUAAAUUGCAUAAAGAGUAAAAAUCGAAUUAUGGAUUAAGGAAAAAUUAAAGGGAUCAAAGAAGAAUUAUGCCAUUACUUAAAGUUGAGGAGGCAUAAGUAGAUAUUUAUUUAAAAAUCUAAAGUUAUAAUAUAAUAUAAUAUAAUAUAAUAAUAUUACUUAAAAGUUUAAGUGUAUAUAUAUUAUAUUAUAUUAUAUUAUAUUAUAUUAUAAAAACAAACAAAUAGAAAAUAAGGAAAGAAACAGAAUUGAAAAACGAAACAGACAAAGAGAAAGGAGAAAAAAAAAGAAAAAAAAGGAGAAUUGAGAUUUUUGAGGUUCUAGUUUAAUUUGGUAAGUCAAAUUAGUCAUUUUUCUUAUAAUUUUGAUGUUUUUGGAAUCCUAGAAUAAAAUACUACUUGUUUUAAGUUGAAAAUUUGAAAGUUAGUAAAUUUUUAGAUGUUGUUCAUGUUGAAUAAAUUGAAGAAUUAUGGAUUAAACUGAUUGAAUUUCCAGUUAGGAGUUAGUAAAGGAUUAAUUUGUAAAAUAAAACAUAAGUUUUGAAUUAAUAGGGACUAAUUUGAGAGAAUUUCAAAAUUAGGGAUUUAUGGUGAAAAUAGAGAGUUAAAUUAGUUUAAAGUGGGAAUGGAAUGAAAAUAUGAAAUUAGUUUUGAGAAUAAAAGUUAGUCUCGAUUCAGGGACUAAAUUGGAAUUUAGGAAAAUAUUGAGUAAAAAUUAAAAUAUUUAAUGUGAGAUUGAAUGGUGUUGUAUUGAUGAUUUUUUAAUUGUUUUAAUUCUGUAGCCAGCAUCGUAUCGGAAUUCUCGACUAAAAAGGGGAAAAAUAUAGUUGACAAGGAAUGGCCCGGAAUUCCUGGUUUGUAUUUCUAUAAUCCGAAUCUAAUUAUUAAUUGUUGUAUUUUGAUUAAAUGUUAUGGUAAGUGAUUGAGGUGAGAAUUAUUGUGUUUUACAAUUGAAAUGGAUUGUUUUGGUAUGUGAUGAAAUUAUAUUGGUUGAAUUGAAUAGGAAUAUAUAUAUUAUGAAUAUAUAUGUGUAAAUGUGAAAUUGUGCAAAUAUGAUAAUUGGAUUAUUUUCUAUAUGUAUAAAAUUCAGUUUUAAUGCCCAAGUAGAUGAAAUUUAGAACUACUGGGAUAUUAGUGGCAUGCCAUUAAGGAACUUUAGUGCACUCUCUGAUUAUUAGCACGUUGGUGCUCUUUAAUUACUAGCACGACAGUGCUCUCCGUUUAGCACAUCUGUGCUUUCUGUUUAGCACUUUAGUGCUCUCUGUUCAUUAGUGCAUAAUAAUGCACCUCUGUAUUUGUUCCGUAUAUCCGGUGUGUUCUAUAAAAUCUACUUUGGGCUAAGAAUAUCAGAUAGUAAACUGAAAAUAGAAUGUGAAAUAUGUUGUAAAUACAUGGAAUACACGAGUUAUAUAUUUAUAAAUUGAAUGUGGAAUGGAUAGUGCCAUUGUUUAAAUGAUACGUGAAUAAAUUAUGGAAAUGUAUUAUAUAUUUAGCAAGUGAUGAAAAUUGAGUAUUGUGUGAUUUUAAAUGUUCAAUUGUGCUUAACAUUUUAUUAUAUAUUUUAUUUUUUAUUUUUAAAUAUUCAGAUUAUAGAAAUACCACUGAGUUUUUACUAAACGUACGAUUUUGUUUUCCUUGCGCAGGUUAGUACUUAAGUUUGAUCACCGAUUCAGCAUCCAACAACGAUCCCGAACUCAAAUAUGGUGAUGUUUAUUUCAUUGUGUCGGCAUGUACCUAGAGUGUCUAAAUAAUAGUUAUUUGGUGAUUUGAUUGUAAAUGAGUUAUAAGAUUAAUUUUGGAGAGUUUAUAAUUUGGAUUAAAAUGAUGCUUUGAAGUCUUGUUUUGAUGAUAUAAAAUGUUUGAGAUUUCUGUCUGUUUGAUCUGUAAUCUUCGGUAAUGCUUCGUAACCCGGUUCCAGCGAAGGAUACGGGUUGGGGGUGUUACGCUGCAUCAUUACUUGAAAUUUUUUUAAAAAAAGUAUAUAUAAAUUUUCAGGUGAUAAUGCGGUAUAAUCUUAGAGUAUCACAUUUAGUAUUUUAAUAAUCAAAUCGAUUGUUGAAUAGGUCAAACUACUAGUUCUCGAUUCAACCAAUUCAAUCAGUUCGAUUAUCGAACCAACAAUAAUUAAAUAAAUAAUUAAAAUUCAUAAAAAUCUUAAAAAGUUUUAAAAAAUUAUUAAAUCGGUUCAACUAUCUAUUUUGUCUUGGUUUUUAUUUUUACUAAUUUCUAGCCAUUUUCGAGUCAAUCAAUUCAACCCUUUUGUUUGGUCUGCUAUAUCGAUCAGUUUUUGGGUUGUCCAAUUUAAUCUUGUUCUAGUAACACUGAUCAUUUAGAGUAACAUGAUAUAAUUUAAGUAUUAUUUAUGACAAAAAAAUUAGAUAACAAUUUAAGAAAAAAGUAUAAUUUUGGUACCACUUUUAUGGUUUAACUAAAAAAAGUUUAUAAAAACAAGAUACACAUGUUAGGCACUGUAGCUGACCAUAACGUAUGUGUCAAAUAAUUUCUUUUUAAUGCUUUAAAGGAAUAAGUCAAAAAGCAAAAGAAACACAAAGGAAAGAGACUUUUCUUCUUUUCCUUUUGCACUGAAAAUAUUUUUAUUAAAAAAUUAUAAAAAUUUUAAAUUGAUUCACAAGUUACUUUAUGCAUAAUUCAUUUUAAAUUGACCUUAAAGUGAAUAUUCAAAUCAAUCUUUAGUGUUGAGUAUGAGUUGGGGUGAUUUACUCAGACCAAGCAAGAUUUAUUGACCUAUAUUGUGUUUACGGUUGAUUGAAUUGAGGUAUUUGGUUUAUUAACAAGAGGAGCUUGCUUGUUAGCAUUUAAUAUUUGGUUUACCAACAAGUAAGUUCUUCAUCUUAUUGUGGAUUCAGUUAGGAGUUUAACAAUAGUAUAUAGAUAUACAACUAAUAAAAUAAUAAAGUGUAAAUAAUAAAUAUAAAAUGUAUAAAAAUUGUUGAAAUUUUGACACUAAAAAUAAAAGAAUUACAGAGAAGAAACAAGAAAAUAUAUUAUAUUAAUAAGUAUUAAAUCUUCUAGAAAGAAAAUAUAUUUUGUAAACUUAACUUGCAAGCAAGCUCUUUUAAUCCAGUUCGUAAUUUUAGUUUGCCAAAGUAAUGAGCUUGCCACUUUUUGUGAGUCCGCCAAUAUUAAAGGAUUCGCCAACUUUGCAUAUUGUAUGAACAGUUAUCUUGCAACACUCCUCCUAGGCCUUCAUGCUGCGAACACCAAUUUUAUCCCUUAACUCUUUAAGCAUCAUCUUUUCAAGUGGUUUGGCUAGAAUGUCUAGAAUGUCUUCAAGUUUGCACCUUGCCUUGUUCACAAGCUUGUACUCUGACGAGCUCGCAUUCUGGUGUUCUUGCACUUUUGCAGCACGUAUUUCAUUUUGUUUGCAAGUUGUACUUUCAUAGCUCACACAUUUUUCAACUCAUGGUUUUUUUUCGAGUUCGCAACUUGCAUAUUGGUGAGCUCGCAAGCUCACACUUCAUCUUGCUGCUUGCUAUUGCAUGAGUGACCAAUUUGCAACACUCUUUCUUAACCAUCUUGCAGUAAACUCCAAUGUUGUUUUCUCAUACAAAUUCUUCAAAAAUUGUAGGCUCUAAUACUAUUAAGUCACAUUCGUGAUAAGUUUCAACAAUAGGCCUGAUGCUUUUAACAACAAGAUAAUUAAAGCCUUCAUUUUCAUCUUUAUCUCAAACUUUACUUAUCUUCUCAGCCGAUUUUGACUUGCACACUUGACUAAGGGAAUUAUAGUUCACAUGUCUCUUUAUUUUGUGUCAACUAUAUGAUUCAUCCAUUGAAUUGGUGUAGGCUCUUGAAGCCAUUGAGUUCUAAUCCAGCACAAAACUUUUAUUAUUCAUUGAGACCGUGACCACUUCCUAUCCUAAGAAUCAAAUAUAGUGCAACAUUUAUCUUUGAAAACAACAAUGUAUUUUUUCUCCAUCAAUUGAUCAAUGCUAAGGAGAUUAUGAUCUAUUUCAAGAAUUAAAAGCACAUCUCUAAUUACUUUAGUACCUGUUGGAGUGUUGAUCAGCAUAUCCCUCUUUCCCUUAGCUUUAAUAAACUGUCCAUUUCUAAUUCUAACUUUUGAAAUGCAACUUCUGUCAAUCCUCUUGAAGAUGCUUUCAUCUAAAGUCAUGUGAUUUGUGCAUCCACUAUUAACAAGCCAGUUCUUUCUAUUUUUGCUAAAGGAUUCACAUGGGGUAGCAAGUUGGGCUUUGUAGGAGGGUUCGCAGGAUUUUGCAAACUGUGCUUCGCAUGAUGCUGCGAACAUGAAUUCUUCUUGACUUUAUUUAGUAUUCUGAGCCUGAGUGUUUUGUUGUUGUACGUGCCCCUUAUUCUUGCACACCCUCUUCAUAUGACCAAAUUUUUUAUAGCUUAUAUAUUGAAUAUAUGGCUUAAACAAGCAAUACCUUUUCGAAUGAUUUGUCUUUUUGUAGUGAGAGCAUAGUGGGUUUUCUUCCUUGCCACCAUCUCUCCAUCUAUCCUCUUUCUUCUCUGUCCAACUUUUCUUACCCUUAUGUUUUUGGCGGUUAACAUAAUCAAUACUCAUGGCUCGCAGUGCUUCUUUUUCUGCGUGCUCCCAAUGCCUUGAUUUCUCUUUUUUGCUCUUGAGCAUACAUGAAAUUUAUUAAUUCUAAAAAAGAGAUACCUCUCAGGGAGUGUUGUUAUGACCUUCUCAACGACCUUACUAUCUACAAAAUCUUCCCUAAGUAACCUUAUGUUAUUUGCAAUCGACAUAAUUAUGUUUGCAUAUUGCUUCACUGUCUCAACAUUCUUCACCUUCAAAUUCUCAAAAUCGCUCUUGAGAUUAAUGAUUUGUUGUUGUUUGGUCUUAUUCGAACCAUGCAACUCCUCAUUUAGCUUAUCCCAAGCUUAUUUUGGAAUCUCACAGGCCAUAAUGCGUGUGAAUAUGACAUUUGAAAUGCCAUUCUAAAUACAAGACAUCGCCUUGUAUCUUUUAGCUCUCACGUCACUAUGGUGUUCAAUCUGAGCGACUAUAGUGUUGUCUCUCAAAUGUGUGAGCUUAAUGUCAAUAUUCACAACCUCCCACAAGUUAUAAGCCUGUAGGUAGGUCUUCAUCUUAACAACCCUUAUAUGACAGUCUUCACCAUUGAAAACAAACAGUGAAGGUGGUGAGAAGCUAACAGAAACCACGUAUAACUCAAAAAGAACAACAAUGACCCUUAAGAAGGUAACUUUGAUACCACCCUUGGAAUUUCGACACAAAAGAAGAAAGAAUUACAGAGAAGAAAUGAAAAUUAUAGCAACAAAACUGUCUGCUAAUGUUUUUUAUAUUUCACUCUGUUUUUGAACAAUGAAACAGAGAUAUUUAUAAGAAGAAAAAUUUCUAAAUAAGGAAAAAAACUAAAAUUUUAUGCUAAUAAAUGUUAAAUAUAUUAUAUUAAUAAGUACUAAAUUUUCUAGAACAAAAAUAUAUUUUGUAAACUUAACUUGCGAGCAAGCUCUUUAGAUCCAAUUCGUAUUUUUAGUUCACCAAAAUAAUAAGCUUGCCACUUUCUGCGAGUCCACCAAUAUUAAAGGAUUCACUAGCUUUGCAUGCUGCGUGAACGGUCAUCUUGCAACCAAAAUAUUAUAAUAAAAUUUUAGUUGAAUGAUACAAAUUAAAAUGCAAUUACAAAUUACAAUAAUUCAAAAAGAGUAUUUAUUGAUAAACCACCAUUUUAAUCAUAGAUAAAAGAAAGAUAUUAACAUAAAUUUUUUUUUGUUCAUACUUGCACAAUUGCAGUCAAAAUAAAAUGAGAACAAAAGUUUAACAAAGAACAAUUAAUGAGAUUCAAGGUCUAAGGUAGCUGUCACCUAAAUAAUAACAUUAAACUUGAAGAUUGAAUUCAUGAUGCUUUUGCUUUCCAUGUUUCUUCCAUAAUGUGAGCAAUGGCACUACAUUGUCAGUUAAGCAAAAGUGUUGGUGCAAGAGGCAGCAACAAGCUGAUUUCAGCUUGCUUAAAUAGCAAGUCUCGAGGCUUGCAGCAGAAACAAUCAAAAACUUACAAUGGAAAACAGAAAAGAAAGAGAGAGAUUUGAAUGAAAAUGAGCUGAAUUUUCAUUAACAUAUUAAGAAGACAUGAUGCCAAUACAUAUAAGGGAUUACAUUAGCAAAACGAACAAAUUACCACCUAAUAACUUACCUAACACCACUAAUUUGCCUAGUAACUUGGUAAACUUGUUUGAAUACAUAAACAGCUACCUAAACUUGUCAUUCAUCACUUAGUUACAUCAAAAUGCAGCUACCAACUAAGUUUGAUCCUAACUAAAUACAAAACAUUCAUUUAAAGAAACUAAAUGAAUAGCUUCAGCUUGCUGCACCAAUUUGUUGUUGAAGCACGUUCCCUGCAUGGCCACCUUUGCUGCUACAUGGGAGCUGACUUCAACACUCCUCCUCAGCUUCUAUGCAGCAGACUCCUAGUUCCCUCUUUAGGCUUAGAAAUCUUGAUACACCAAGAGACUUUGUGAAGAUAUCAGCAAUCUGAUUUUCAGAGCUGCAAUGAAUCAGCUCAAUUUCUCGAGCUUGUUCCAUCUCCCUUAUCACAUACAGUUUAAUAUCGAAGUGUUUUGUCCUACCAUGGAAGACAGGAUUUUUUUGCAAUAACAACUGCUGACUUGUUGUCACAAUGUAUCACCGUUGCUUCAUUCUGCUGUAGGUUUAAAUCACUCAAAAUUUUUCUCAGCCACACAGCUUGAUUAACAGCAUUAGCAGCUGCUACAUACUCAGCUUCAGCUGUUGACUGAGCCACCAUUGUUUGUUUUCUUGAGCUCCAACAAAUCAUUGCAGAGCCAAGUGUAAAAGCAUAACCAGAGGUGCUCUUCAUGUCAUCUUUUGAACCAGCCCAAUCGCUGUCUGUAUAGCCAAUCAAUUUCAACUCCUUGACCCUUUUGAAACAUAUACCAUGGUUCAAGGUACCUUUGAUAUACCUCAGAACCCUUUUUCCUGCUUUAUAAUGCUGCUGAUUACAGCAAUGCAUGAAUCGUGACAGCAUGCUCACAGCAAAUAGAAUAUCAGGUCUUGUUGCUGUCAAAUACAACAAACAGCCAAUAAGGCUUCUAUAAUCUGUUUCACAGACAGAUUCAUGUUCCUCUUGGCUCGAUAGCUUCAUGCCAAUAGCCAUUGGUGUGCUCAUUGGUUUACAAUUCUCCAUUGAGAAUUUAGCCAGCACUUUCAAGGCAAAUGUCUUUUGUUUCAAGAGGAUUCCUCCUUCUACUUGAUUGACUUCCAUUCUUAGGAAAUAUGUCAUCAAUCCCAGGUCUGACAUCUCAAACAUUUCCUUCAUUUUUGUUUUGAAAUCAGCCAACAUAAACUUGUCUUCUCCAGUCACUAGAAGAUCAUCAACAUACAGUGAUACAAUAAGCUGUGUUUCAGCUCCAUUCCUCUUAACAUAGAGUGUUGGCUCACUAGCACUCCUUUCAAAUCCCAAACUGACCAGGUAUGAGUCAAUUCGAGCAUACCAGGCUCGAGGGGCCUGUUUUAGGCCAUACAAGGCCUUUCUUAGCCUAUACACCAAAUGUUCCUUACCAGGCAUUAUAAAACCUGGGGGUUGCUCGAUGUAUAUCUCCUCUUCUAAGAAUCCAUUGAGGAAUGAAGACUUGACAUCCAUUUGGUGGAUUGUCCACUGGUUCUGAGCAGCAACAGCAAUCAGCAAUCUGAUUGUAUCGAGUCUGGCUACUGGAGCAAAUGUUUCCAAGUAGUCCAAACCAUACCUUUGACUGAAGCCCUUCACAACUAGCCUGGCCUUUAGCUUGUUUAGACUUCCAUCCGCAUUGUUCUUCAUUCGAUAGACCCAUUUUACACCAAUGGUCUUUCUGUUGGCAGGCUUUUUAACCAACUCCCAUGUCUGGUUCUUCACAAUCAUGUUGAUUUCAUCAACCAUAGCCUGUUUCCAACCUUCAUCUGCUUCAGCUUCUUCAAAACUACUAGGUUCUGCUAUAGCAGCUUGUGCUCUUUCAUAAAUCUCAUCUAGGGGCCUUGUGCCUCUCACAGACGCAUCAUCAACAUCCAUUUCAGGACCAAGGUGCUCGAGUUCAGCUUGAUUAGGCACCAGGUCUUCUGAAGCAGCUUCUGGUUUACUCUUUUCCCAUUUCCAGCAAGCCUUCUCAUCGAAGAUGACAUCUCUGCUCACUUGGAAUUUGUUUGUCAAAGGAUCCAGCACCCUGUAGCCCUUCUUAACUGAGCUAUAGCCUAUAAGAACACCUGAUUGAGCCCUUUCAGAGAGCUUGUCUCUAUUUGCUGCUGGUUUUUGUGCAUAACACAGACAACCAAACACUUUCAGAUGUGCCAAUGAAGGCUUGAAAUCGAACCAAGCCUUGAAAGGUGUCUUGGAUGCAAGAGCUUUGGUAGGAAGCCUAUUUUGAAGGUAGACAGCAGUGUUUACUGCCUUAGCCCACAUGGUCUUGGGCAGUUUCUUCUCAAACAACAGGCACCUGGCCAUAUCCAUCAAGCUUCUGUUCUUUCUUUCUGAUACCCCAUUCUGCUGAGGUGUGUAGACAUUUGUAAGCUGGUGUUUGAUACCAGCAUCAUUGCAAAUGGCUUGAAACUGAGCUGAAGUGUACUCAGUGCCAUUGUCUGACCUUAUCGAUUUCAGCUUACAACCUGUUUCUGUCUCUACUGCAGUUUUAAACUUCACAAACACUUGAGCUACCUCAGACUUGUGUUUUAAGAAGAAAAUCCAGCAAAACCUUGUAAAAUCAUCAAUGAAGAGGAUGAAAUACCUAUUCUUGCUGAGUGAUUCAGUCCUCAUCGGGCCACAUACAUCAGAGUGCACCAGCUGAGUCUUUCAAAAGCUCUCCAAGCUGAGUUUGUAGGAAAUGGCAGUCUUGCCUGUUUCCCUAUUUGGCAAACUUCACACACAUCAUCAUGCUUUAUUGAGCUGGUAAAGUUUUCUGCCAAGCCCUCUUUGGCCAUUCGAGCUAGUGAUCUGAAGUUGGCAUGUCCGAGCCUUUGAUGCCAAAGCUUGGAAUCAUCAACAGAAGCUGUGUAUGCUGACUUUGAGUCAUUUGGCCAGUGCACCUCAAAGCAUUUGUCAGUCAUUUUGACUUUCAUAAGGCUUGAUCCACUUGGAUCAGCAAUCUGGCACUGUUUGUCCUUGAACACAACAGAAUAGCCUUUCUCGAGCAAUUGAGCUAUGCUAAGAAGGUUUCUGUCAAUCUCAGGCACCAAAAGCACAUUUGGAAUAAUCUUGUUGCCUGUAGGAGUACUUAUUAGCACCUCUCCUCUUCCUUCAGCCCUUAUGAACUGACCAUUUCCAACCUUGACCUUGGUUUUGCAACUUCUAUCCAAGGUUUUAAAGAAGGAGGCAUCUGGUGACAUGUGGUUAGUGCAACCACUGUCCAAUAACCAGCCUUUUGAGCAUUUCUUCUCAGCAGAUAAGCAAGACACAGCAAAGACAUGCUCUUCUUGGUCACUACUGUCCUCAGCUACCUGAGCUUCAACCUUUGGUUGUUGAAAUUGGCUCUGCCUUGGCUUGGUUCUAUUUUUGCAAACCCUUUCAACAUGGCCUUUCUUCUUGCAGUAUUGGCAUACUGCAUCUGGCCUGAACCAGCAUCUGCCUUCUGGAUGACCUGGCCUUUUGCAAUGUCUGCAGGGCUGGUCAUUGCUCCUUGCAGCAUCAGGCUUAGGUCUGCUUUUCCAAGGCUUUUUACCUCUAGGAGCAUUGAUGCUCGAGGCUUCUCUGGCCUUGACAUUGAAUGCACCUUCCUGGUUGUCUUCAGUUCUGCUAGCUCUUCUUUGUUCCUGAGCAUAGAAGGUGUUGAUUAGCUCAGUCAAAGAGAUGGUAGCAAGAUCUCUUGAGUCCUUUAGAGAGGAUAUCUUGGCCUCAUAUCUCUCAGGCAAAGUGGAGAGGACUUUCUCCACUAUCCUUGCCUCAUCAAAGUGCUCACCUAGGAGCCUUAUUCUGUUAACCACUGCCAUGAUUCUGUCUGCAUACUGCUUCACUAUUUCUUCUUCCUUCAUUUUCAGGUUCUCGAAAUCCCUUCUCAAAUUCAAUAGCUGCUGUUGCCUUGUUCUCUCAGUGCCUUGAAACUCCUCCUUAAGCUUAUCCCAGGCCUGUUUUGGAGUCUCACAGGCCAUGAUUCUGGUGAAGAUGACAUCUAACACACAGUUCUGGAUGCAGGACAUGGCUUUGUGCCUUUUGGUCCUCUCAUCAGCAUGUUGCCUGAUCUGAGCUACUGUGGGAUUAGCCCUCAGUGGUGCUGGCUCAGCAUCUGUGUUGACAACUUCCCACAGAUCGAAGGCCUGUAGGUAAGUCUUCAUCUUGACCAGCCAUAUGUGAAAGCCUUCUCCAUUAAAGACUAGUGGGGCUGCUGGUGAAAAUCUUGAAGAAGCCAUCAGGUUCCUUGGUUUGAAGCAACAGGUCCACUAAGACAAGGGCUCUAGAUACCAAUUGUUGGUGCAAGAGGCAGCAACAAGCUGAUUUCAGCUUGCUUAAACAGCAAGUCUCGAGGCUUGUAGCAGAAACAAUCAAAAACUUACAAUGGAAAACAGAAAAGAAAGAGAGAGAUUUGAAUGAAAAUGAGCUGAAUUUUCAUUAACAUAUUAAGAAGACAUGAUGCCAAUACAUAUAAGGGAUUACAUUAGCAAAACAAACAAGUUACCACCUAAUAACUUACCUAACACCACUAAUUUGCCUAGUAACUUGGUAAACUUGUUUGAAUACAUAAACAGCUACCUAAACUUGUCAUUCAUCACUUAGUUACAUCAAAAUGCAGCUACCAACUAAGUUUGAUCCUAACUAAAUACAAAACAUUCAUUUAAAGAAACUAAAUGAAUAGCUUCAGCUUGCUGCACCAAUUUGCUGUUGAAGCACGUUCCCUGCAUGGCCACCUUUGCUGCUACAUGGGAGCUGACUUCAACAAAAAGUAUACUGAUGUUCUUUAGCAAAUAUGUUAGAGCCUUAAAGGCUUCAAGUGCCAUCGGAGGUCUUACUAACUUAUGAGGGAUACUUAUUACCAAAGAAACAAAUUGCUAGUUUAUACCGUACCCACACUACUGAUAUUCUUUAGCCUAUCAUUUAUUUUCAUCCCCCUCGUUAGCUUGCAACUCUUAUUGAUUAUUUUUACCGGAUCUUACCCUUUUUUGUUAUCUGUUACAGAUUCAAGGAUUACGUGCCUGCGAGGUAUCCUUAUUUGUAUGAGCAAUACCUCAAAAGAAGUAAAAGAAAUGCCUAAAAAUUAAAGGAACUAAACUUAUCCAGUGAAAGCAGCAAUUUAAGGAUGCUAUUUGCCAAUGUGAUCGGUUAGAAGUGAAAGUUUGAGACUUUGGCAUGAUAUUUUUUAGAUCCUAAUCUUUGAAGAAACGUACAAACAUUAUAGAAGUAUGUAGUAAACUGCAACUUUGCACAUCGAUUGGAAGCUUUUGGAUGCAUAACAAAGUUGCUAAUUUGUGUGUGGAGGAAAGAAGCUUCUUCAACAUAAAGGUGAUGUUACACAUAGCAAUCAAUCUUUCCAUAAUUAUUUGUGCUACUACACUGAGAUUACGAAGGACUAGACUUGGUGACUGUUGAGAUCACGUGUUUAAGAUUGCUACUAUUUAGUUUUUCUGUUGCUAAGUUUGAAUAAUUCUUCUUUACUUUAGGAGCUUAGUUUUUCAAUUUGUUUGGUAUAUUGUUACCAGAUUUUUAGUAGAUUUUUAGAACCUCUUUUUCUAUUUUUAGUCUUAAACUUUUGUAUUUAAAUCGUUGAGUUGCAAAUUAAUUAUCAUUCCAGUCUUUCUCUUCUUUCUCCUUCAAAUCUCUCGAUCAACCAACAAAGUUCGAGUUUUAAUCACUAAAAAAUUGGUAUCAGACUUAUUUUCUUGAGGGAUCUGUGAGGUUAUUUGCGUGUUAAAAUAGAAGGAGGUUCCAAUUUUUCAGUUGCUGCACCACCAGUCUACGAUAGAGACAAUUACCAGAUGUGGGCAAUUCGCAUGGAGACUUACCUGGAGGCUUUAGAUCUUUGGGAAGUUGUAAAAAAGGAUUACAAAGUCCUACCACUUCUAGCAAAUCCUACUGUUGCACAGAUUAAAGCAUAAAAAGAAAUCAAAGGUAAAAGCAUACUUAUUUGCAGCUGUGUCUCAAAUGAUUUUCACACAAAUAAUGUCUCUGAAAUCAGCAAAGGAAAUUUGGGAUUACCUCAAGGCUGAAUAUGCAGGAGAUAGAGGAUUCAUAGAAUGAAAGUCCUGAAUUUAAUCAAGGACUUCGAGUUACAGAAGAUGAAAGAGUAUGAGUCAGUGAAAGAAUAUUCUGACAGACUUCUCAGUAUUGCCAACAAGGUGAGAUUGCUUGGUUCUGAGUUGGAAGACUCUAAAAUCAUAGAAAAGCUGCUGGUCACUAUUCUAGAGAAGUUUGAAGCCACCAUUACUACUCUGGAAAACACCAAGGACCUGUCAAAGAUCUCUCUUGCAGAGCUCUUGAAUGCUUUACAAGUACAAGAGCAAAGAAGAUUUAUGAGGCAAGAGGAAGUGAUAGAAGGUGCCUUACCUGUCAAGUAUCAAGACAACAACAUGUAUAAAAAGAAGAAAAAUUUUAAGAACCAGUCAACGAGUGGAGAAAAUUCAUCAGGCAAUUAUCAAAAGAGCAAAAAAGGAGGUGUCAAGAAAUCCUACCCACCUUGUCACCAUUGUGAGAAGAAAGGUCAUCCACCAUUCAAAUUUUGGAAAAGUCCUGACACCAAAUGCUCUAAAUGCAAUCAGCUUGAACAUGAAGCAGUGGUUUGCAAGGUCAAAGGCCAGGUGCAAGAAGUAGAUGCACAGGUAGCUGAUCAAGAAGAAGAAGAUCGAUUGUUCGUGGUUACCUAUUUUUUAGGCAGAGAAUCAAGUGAGAGCUGGUUGAUUGAUAGUAAGUGCACAAAUUACAUGACGUAUGAUAAGGAGCUCUUCGAGGAAUUGAGAAACACUGAAGUCAAAAGAGUGAGGAUUGGAAAUGGUGAGUACUUAGAAGUCAAGAGAACAGGCAUAGUAGCUAUUACAGGCUAUGAAGGUACAAAAUUCAUUUCAGAUGUUUUGUUUGUACCUAAAAUUGAUCAAAAUCUCUUAAGUGUUGGUCAAUUACUAGAUAAAGGCCAUAAAGUGCUAUUUGAGAAUAAGCAGUGCUUGAUUAGAGAUUCUAAUGGCAGGGACUUGUUCAAUGUCAAAAUGAAGGGAAAAUGUUUUGCUCUUAAUCCAAUGGAAAAGGAGCAAAUGGCUUUUAAAUCCAGAGUUAGUGCUUCUGAGACUUGGCACAAGAGACUUGGGCACUUUCACCAUCGAGGAUUACUUCAAAUGCAGUCGAAGAAGCUGGUGGAAGGACUUACAGACAUUGAUGAUGAUCUACCUCAUUUUCAAGCUUGCGAAUUUGGGAAACAACAUAGACAACCCUUUCCUAAACAAGCCUGAAGAGCCUCGAAGAAGUUACAGCUUGUUCAUACUGAUCUUUGUGGUCCUCAGAGAACGCCAUCGUUAAAUAGUAACCUUUAUUACAUAGCCUUUAUCGAUAAUUUAACAAGAAUGUGUUGGAUUUUCUUGUUGAAACAAAAAUCAGAAGUUACCGGUGUGUUCUGGAAAUUCAAAGCUAGAGUUGAAAAUGAAAGUGGAUGCAUGAUUCAGAUUUUAAGAUUUGAUAAUGGCAAGGAGUACACUUCAGAAACCUUUAAUAGGUUUUGUGAAGAGGCUGGAAUUGAGCAUCAGUUGACGGUGCCAUACACUCCACAACAAAAUGGAGUCAGCGAAAGAAGGAACAAAUUCAUAAUGGAGAUGACUCGAUGUAUGCUUCAUGAGAAGAAUCUUCCAAAAAGCUUUUGGGUAGAAGCUGCAAACACUGCUGUGUUCUUGCAAAAUCAGAUUUCAACAAAAACUGUGAAGGAUCAGACGCCAUUUGAAGCUUGGUAUGGUUACAAACCUUCUUUAAAGUUCCUUAGAUUGUUUGGCUGUCUGUGUUUCACUUACAUUCCACAGGUUAAGCGUGAUAAGCUUGAAAAAAAGGCAGAAGCUGGCAUUUUUGUUGGGUAUAGCACUGUAUCUAAAACUUACAGAGUCUUUCAACCACACACUGGACGUGUUAUUGUGAGCAGAGAUGUUUAUUUUGUUGAAAAUGAGAAAUAGAAUUGGGAAGACUCGACCAAGACGAACUAAACUUCUAGUGCACCAAAUCAUUUUACCAUUGGCAGCACGUUAGAGGAGCUUGAAGAUGAAGGGCAAGAUGAUUUGGCUGAUGAUACACCUGUCAGAGGUACAGGACUGCUCUCCGACAUUUACCAAAGAUGUAACGUGGCUAUUUGUGAGCCUGCAGGGUAUCAUGAUGCAAAAAGCAGUCAAUAUUGGAUGGCUGCAAUGAAGGAGGAGCUUUCGAUGAUCGAGAAAAACAAAACUUAGAAGCUGGUUGAUCGACCUCUGGACAGAAAGAUAAUUGGAGUAAGAUGGGUGUUCAAAAUGAAACUAAAUCCCGAUGGUGCAGUUAACAAAUUCAAAGCAAGACUUGUGCUUGUUGUGAAGGGAUAUGCACAAGUCUUUGGAGUCGAUUAUUCAGAAAGAGUGGUGAUAUGUCUCUUUGUUACUGCAAAUUUGAAGAUCAAAUUGCAGAUAUCUUCACCAAACCAUUGCCACUUAGCAAGUUUGAAAGCUUCAGGAAGAAACUUGGAGUUUGCAGCAUCUAAACAAAGAGGAGUGUUUAGAUCACAUGUUUAAGAUUGCUGCCAUUUAGUUUUUCUGUUGCUAAGUUUGAAUAAUUCUCCUUUACUUUAGGAAGCUUAGUUUUUCAAUUUGUUUGGUAUAUUGGUACUAGAUUUUUAGCGGAUUUUUAGAACCUCUUUUUCUAUUUUUAGUCUUGAACUUUUGUAUUUAAAUUGUUGAGGUGCAAAUCAAUCAUCAUUCCAGUCUUCAAUUAUUUUCUAUCUUAAAACUUCCUUUCUCUUCUUUCUGCUUCAAAUCUCUCGAUCAACCAUCAAAAUUCAAGUUCUAAUCACCAACAGUGACAGCUAACAUUUUGUACAAAUUGAAAUCAAACCAACUGAAAUAACAGUGAGACUAAGAAUAUGGCUUGUGGGAGUUUUUAUUCAAUUCCAAAAAAGCACUUUAAAUCCAUGUCUUAACACAGUUACUCCAUAUAAACAUGACUUUGCAAUCGAUAGUUUUAUACCCCUUCUAAACUUUUUUUAAUAGGAAAUUGCGAUUGCUUUCCUACAUGUUUCCAAUACAAAAUUUUCUAGGGAAAUUAUCUACCACAAAAUAGUAGUAGGAAUGAACGAUCAUUUGUAUAUAGUUAAACCAUGCUUGCCUCCAAUAAGGAUUUAUGUAAAGCACAACAGCAAUACAUAAUAACACCAUCACGUAACAUGCGAAGAAGCUUGAAGGCAUCCAUAUCAAUAAAAAAACUUUAAAAAGAUUUAUGUUGGAUAUUAUUUAUGAUUUUCCACUUAAAAAAAACUUUAAAAUUAUGGUUUUGAUCUUUUUUUUCAACUUGUAAACAGCGUGUUAAAGUAUCGUAUGGACAUGUUUGAUUGUGAAACCGUAAUGCAAAACCGAAGGUAGAAAGCAUUUAUAACCAUUGCUAUCAGACAAAGCAACAUCGUAAAGAGUGUGUGUUGUUUGUCCUGUGAAUUGGUUGAAGAGUGACGUGCUUUUUAACUUAUUUGCUUAUUUGAUGUGUACUUGAUUAGACAUUGAUUCCAUUCCAUGUAUAAGAAAAUGAUAUAAGAGGGAAACUUCAACUGGAUUCUCACAAUUAUGGACCCCCUCCCCUAUUGGCAAUGAUUUGUUUGUAUUACAAACGUCUAAACUAAGUUAAACUUUGGGGUCUCUGCAUUUCAUUUCUCCGGAAUUACAUAAAUCAAAGCAUGUUAAGUUUGUAAAAUUUCAUUGUAUUUCUUACCUUUUAAUUACAAUCUAUAGCACAUGUCCUUACCAUACUUUAUGCAUUUGUACCCAACGCUGCUUUAUGUCUAUAUACUUUAUAUAGCGCAUUCCUCACGACACGCGUCAAAUCACUUUUGCCUUUUUCUCCAUUUUAAAAGAUAUAUAAGUUGAUGUGUAUAUAUGGCUUACAAUGUGUAUAGUGAGUCAAUCCCGUGUGGACCCUAAUUGAAUACCAUUUCUUUUCUUUGCUAACCAUUCAUACACAGCAUUGUUGUUUCUUGUCUUUCAUCAUCCUCAAUACAUCCACUGUUGUUUCUGCAGUUUCCAAUUGUUGUUGCUUUGCUGAUUUUAUUUUCAUAAAAUAAUUCUAUCCUUUAAUAGGUUUACAAAAUGUUAUUGGCUUCGCUCCACUAGAAUUUGGGAAAUAAAAAUAUAUAUAAUUUCUUUUUUCAAAAUAUAACUCUGUUAAACAAUAAAUGUCAUUUUUUAAAUUGUGAAUGUUAACUCUACUUAACAUUUUAAUAGUAUAGAGACUAAAUUUAUCCAUUUAUAUAGGGAUUAAUUUGAUCAGGCCACUAUAACAGAAGGACUUGUCAGAUUUAUUCACCUUACUCUCUAUAUAUUUGGUUUGAUUAUACUAUACUUCCCAAAACUAUGAUCCAUGUAUUAGACUUCAAAUUUCAAGGUAGUCCAAUUUAGUCAUUAAAAUAUCAAUAUUAUACAAAUCAAGUCAUUCCAUAAGUCUAGCCAUAAUAAUGAACAGUAAAUGUUAGCUUAGACAUUACGUGGAUCAUAUUUAAAACAUGUGGAUCACAUUUUAAAUACAUAUGUAUUUAUUAUAUUGACAACUUAAAUCUUACAAGUUAAAAAGAAAAAGAAAAACAUAAUUCUCCUCAAUUUUAAUGACACUAUUAUUUUUUUCACUUCAUAUCCAAAUUUUCAAUAAAAUAAAUAUGGACGUGGUAGAUUUUGGUCCUAAUAUUUUAAAUAAGUUUCCUAUAACAUAAUUCUUAAAUAUAUAUAUAAAUAAAAACACAAAAAUUUGUAUAUGGUAGAAUAAAAAGGAAAAGCUUCCAAGAAACUCAUUCCAUAAAGGGUCCACUUAUCGCUUAAUUGGUUUCCAAUCUUAUUAUCAAAAUAUUUGUCUCCCUGAUAGAAUGAAAAUUAUAUGUAGUAAACCCACCACUUACGUCGGGGUUUAAUAAAACAAUUUACAUUAUUUAACUAAUUGUUUGCAUUAAUAUCUAUUUACAAUUUAUUACAUAUUAAUUAAUUAAAAAUAAUUAAAUAUUAAUUUAUUAGAAUCGGUGCAUCCUGUUAUUAACAAACACAACAAAAGAAUGAUUACAAAGAAGGAAAGAGAGGAUCCCCGGAAAGGAUAGAAUUUGCACAAUAUGCAUGUAUCAAAAUACUACUAAUAGGCAAAAAAGUGGUGACGCCGAUGCCUGUGGGUGGCCUAUUAAAAAAAUGUUCUUUUUCUUAUUCUUCUCUUAUAAUAUAUGUUGUUUUGGACAUGUACAAAUAUUAGUGAUGCCAAAAAUAUUAGCGUGACUCAAAAAAAAUAUUUUUUAUAUACUGUAACUAAUGAUUGAGUGAAAGUGAUAAGGUGGGAUGUUAAUGACAAUGGUGUCACUUAUCUUUACGGUAAUGACAUCCUAUAUUUAUCAUUCAAAAUAGGUCAUUUACAUACAUAAUUUAAAAGUGAGUUAUUUUCGUAAAUAAUGUGAAAUUUUGAACAAUUUUUUUAUAAAAAAAAGCCAUGGACUCCUCUCCAAAUUUAUUAUGAUUUGGUCCAAAUAUAUUCAUGUUAUUAGUUAAACUAUGCAUUGUAAUAAUUAAUUAGAAUAAUUAAUCGUGUUAAUAUUUGGAUUAAUUAUUGAUAUUAUAAAAAUAAAAAAUUUAAAUAUGUCAAAUUAAAGUAUAGGGACCAAAUAUGAUAUCUUUUUUGUGUCAUUUUAAUUGAGACUUAAGGAUCUAAGAAACCUUUGAAUUUUUUCGAAAAAUAAAAUAAAAUUAAGCCCGUAAAAAUACAAACUUAGUGAAGCCCUCGCAUGCUAAAAACAUAAAGCCCUUUGACUAAUUGAGUCAUUAGAGUAUCAAUUCUACAUCAAUCAGGUCUUGCAUUUGUGUAACAAUCAUCUUGGGCAUUAAAUGUUAGCUCGGACAUAAUGUGGAGCAUAUUUAAAAUAUGGUGAUCAAAUUUUAAACAUGUACUUAUCGGAUGGACAACUUAAAUAUCUAAUACAUUGAAAAAAGGGAAAAGAAAAAAGAAAACAAUUCUCUUAAAUUUUAAUCACACUGUUUUAUUAGUAAAAAGCAACAACUAUGUUCUGUGAAGAAACGCAAAGCACUACUUAUAGAGCAUGAUAAAAGUUCCAAUGUUAAUGCAUCAUAUGCCCAAAGAUCAGUGCCAAGAGACCUUCCUUUCACAGUAAGUUGAGUGAAGCACAACAAUCUUUCUAAUACUACGUUUGUUGAAUCUUAAUGUUCAUUUACUACUAGGCCUGGUGACAGCUAACAUUUUCUACAAAUCGAAAUCAAACAAAUUGAAAUAGCAGUGAGACUAAGAUGGAUUGUGGGAGUUUUUAUUCGUUACAAAAAAGCACUUUAAAUCCAUGUCUUAACACAGUUACUCCAUGGCUUUUCAAUCGACAGUUUUAUACCCCUUGUAAACUCUUUUUUAUCGAAAAUUGCAAUUGCUUUACUACAUGUUUCCACUACAAAAUUUUCUGGGGAAAUUAUCUACCACAAAAUAGUAGCAGGAAUCAACGGCCAUUUGUAUAUAGUAAAACCAUGCUUGCCUCCAAUAAGGAUUUAUGUACAGCACAGCUGCGAUACACAAUAGCACCAUCACAUAACAUGCGAAGAAGCUUGCAUAGAAAGCAUCCAUAUCAAUGAAACCAUGGUCUUCUGUGUCGCCAGCUGAAGCCUUCGGUGUAAUUGGUGUUGCGACCAGUGAACAAUUCUGUUGCGCGGAAGCGUGUGAAAGAGUAAAAUUAUUGUACUGAAAAAUCACACUAAGUUCAAUUCCCAGGAAAGAGAGGUGGAUCACGAGGAUCGCUUACAUACCAGAUCUUUCCUAGCCAGAAUAUCCCUCUAUCGUAAUUUAAUAGCACAAUAAAUCACUACAAUGACACUUGCAAAAUAUGCAGAACAAAAAAUAAAGAACACUAGAAUUUUAACGAGGUUCAGCAAAUUUUGCCUACGUCCUCGGGCACUACCAAAUAUAUUUCACUCCAAAAAUACAAGUGAAAGUUUACAAAUAGGGAGAGAGAACAAUUGCCUUAAGUAGAGAAUGGCAAGUAUGGGAUGAAGAAAGUAAGCAAUGGUUAGGCCUAUUUAUAGUUGAGGUUCAAUGAUCAACUUGCAAUGUCCCUAUACAAUUAGGGACCAAAAUUGCAAUUAUCCCAUGCCAACUUUUAACCCAACUUGCCAACCAAUUUUACUUUCUACUUUCGGUGCCCACCCUUUUUGACUUUUCAAACAAUGGGUGGGUUCCAAUAAUCUCCACCUUGAAGAUUUGAUUAGGAUAAUCUUAUCUUCACACAAUUCUUUCUGCCUUUGACAACAAUACUUGAUAGUGCCUUCUUCAACUGUUAAACUUGCAGGAUAUUAAUCAAGUUCAAACAAUGUUCGAACUUGGUUGAUGUUACCACCUUGGUCAUCAUAUCUGUGGGAUUAUCUAUAGUCUUGAUCUUCUGAAGACAAAUUUUCCCCUCUUCAAUAAUUUCCCGCACAAAAUGGAAUCGUACGUCGAUAUGUUUUGUACGUGCAUGAUAGACUUGAUUCUUUGCUAAAUGAAUAGCACUUUGACUAUCACAAUACACGUUAAUAUGCUCCUGAACCAACCCCAAGGUUUUAGCCAUACCUUGUAACCAAAUAGCCUCCUUUAUAGCCUCUGUUAUAGCCAUGUACUCGGCUUCUGUGGUUGACAAUGCAACUGUAGACUGUAGUGUAGACUUCCAACUUAUUGGUCCUCUAGCAAGUGUAAACACAUAACCGGUGGUUGAUCUUCGCUUGUCCAAAUCACCGGCAUAGUCAGAAUCAACAUACCCAAUAACACCUUUACCAAGUGUAUUAUCCUGCUUGAACAGUAAUCCAACAUCCACGGUCUUCUGAAUAUACCGUAGAAUCCAUUUCACAGCUUGCCAAUGUCCUUUUCCAGGAUUAUGCAUAUACCAGCUCACUAUACUAACUGCCUGUGAAAUGUCGGGUCUUGUACACACCAUUGCAUACAUCAAGCUACCCACUGCAUUGGAAUACGGAACUUGCAACAUGUAUUCUCGUUCCGUAUUCGUCGAAGGAGAUAGUUGUGCAGAAAGCUUGAAAUGAGAAGCCAACUGGGUACUUACAGGUUUUGUCUGCUCGUUCAUGCCAAACUGUUGUAGUACCUUUUUCAAAUACUGCUUCUGAGACAAGCUAACUCUAUCAUGAGCUCUAUCUCUCCAUAUUUCCAUGCCGAGAAUCUUUUUAGCUUCUCCUAGAUCUUUCAUCUCAAACUCGAGAUUGAGUUGAGUCUUCAAUCUUUCAAUCUCAACUUUGCUCUUAGAUGCUAUUAGCAUAUCAUCAACAUAUAAGAGCAAGUAUAUGAAAGUUCCUUCUUGUAGCUUCUGAAAAUACACGCAAUGAUCAAAUUUACUUCUUGUGUACCUUUGCCCUUUCAUGAACUAAUCAAAUCGCUUGUACCACUGCCUCGGAGAUUGCUUCAAUCCAUAAAGCGACUUUGUCAGUUUGCAAACCCAAUUUUCUUUUCCAGCAACCUUGAAUCCAUCUGGCUGAGUCAUAUAGAUUUCCUCUUCCAAAUCACCGUGUAAAAAUGCGGUCUUCACAUCAAGCUGAACUAGUUCAAGAUCAUAUUGCGCAACCAAGGCUAGCAAAAUCCGAAUAGACGAAUGCUUCACAACUGGAGAAAACACUUCAUUGUAGUCUAUUUCUUCUUUCUGAGCGUAACCCUUUGCUACUAAUCUAGCCUUGUAUCGAAUUUCAUUUUUAUCAGGAAAUCCUUCCUUCUUUGCAUAUACCCAUUUGCAUCCAAUUGCCUUCUUUCCCUUGGGUAGUGUCACCAACUCCCAGGUCGUAUUUUUAUGAAGAGACUGCAUUUAUUCAUUCAUUGCUUGCUUCCACUUUACACCAUCAGGGUUACUUAUUACUUCUGUGUAAGUAGAAGGAACAUCAUCAUCUGUAAUUGGAAGUGCAUAGGCCACUAUAUCAUCAAAGCGAGCAGGCUUACGAAUCUCUCUUCUUGGCCUUCUAUAUGCAAUUGAAUCUUGUUGCUGUAGAGGUUCUUGGGUAGGAACCUCUUCAUCAUUUGUCCCUUCAAUAUUAGCUGGAUCAUCGUUAACCUUUUCAAGCUCCACCUACUGCAAAGUACUACUGGUUUUGUCAUUCUUUUGUGAAUCCUUGUACUUCAACAUGGUUGAUUCAUCAAAAGUCACAUCUCUACUGAAAAUAAUCUUCCUUGUAUCAGGACACCAGAGACGAUAUCCUUUUACUCCAUCAGUUAUACCCAAGAAUAAUGCUUUCUUUGCUCUUGGUUCUAACUUAGAUCCUUUUACAUGAUAAUAUGCAGUGGAACCAAAUACAUGUAAAGAAUCAUAAUCAGUAGCAGAUUUACCAGUCCACAUCUCCAUAGGAGUUUUUCCAUUUAUUGCAGCUGAUGGCAAACGGUUAAUUAGAUGGCACGCAUAUGUAACUGCCUCAGCCUAAAAUUCUUUGCCCAAUCCAGCAUUGGACAACAUACAUCGAACUUUCUCCAGUAUAGUUCGAUUCAUUCGUUCUGCCACCCCAUUUUGCUGUGGUGUAUCCCGAACAGUGAAGUGUCGCACAAUGCCCUCAUCUUGGCAUACUUGUAGAAAUGGAUCGUUUUUGUACUCAGUACCAUUAUCUGAUCGAAGUCGUUUGACCUUUCGACCAGUCUGAGUCUCCACCAUCUUCUUCCAUUUCAAAAAUGCAUCCAAAACUUCACUUUUUCUUUUCAUUAGAUACACCCAUACUUUUCUUGAAUAAUCAUCAACAAAAGUAACAAAAUAGUGCAUACCUCCCAAAGAAGCUACUUUGGUAGGUCCCCACACAUCACUGUGAACGUAGUCCAGAAUUCCUUUCGUAUUGUGAAUUGCUGGACCAAAUUUUACCCUCUUCUGCUUGCCCAGAACACAAUGUUCACAGAAUUCCAUUUUGCAAGAAUUUGCACCUUUCAAUAAGCCUUGCUUCACCAAUGUCUGCAAAGCUUUUUCACCAGCAUGUCCCAAUCGCAUAUGCCAUAAUCUGGUAACCUCUGAAUCUACAUCUUUUGUAGAAACUAUUGAUGUUGAUCCAAUAAUUGUACUUCCAUUUAAAAAAUACAAGUUAUUUCUUCUUGUGCCUUUCAUCACCGUCAGUUGCCCAGCUACUACUUUUAGUAAUCCAUCUCUCAAAGUGAUUGUGAGCCCUUUAGAUUCUAGGGCACCUAAUGAGAUGAGAUUUUUCUUCAGGCUAGGUACGUAGCGAACAUCUGUCAAGACUUGGAUUGAGCCGUCGUGAUUCUUCAAUUGGACUGUACCCACUCCCAUUGUCUUACAAGCACUAUCAUUGCCCAUAAGAACAAUUCCACCUUCUAGCUCUUUAAGACUAGAAAACCAGUCCUUAUUAGGACACAUAUGGUAAGUACAUCCUGAAUCCAAAAUCCACUCAUCCGUUUGACAUGCCAUUGCCAUGCCAACCAAGCUAAAGUCUGACUCCUCAUCAUGCUCCGCUACACAUGCAUUAGAAAUAACCUUGCCCUUUUGUAGCUUAGGACAAUUCUUUUUCCAAUGCCCUUUUUCACGGCAAAAGGCACAUUCAUCUUUGGCGGGUCUCCCUUUGGACUUUCCCCUUCUACCAGAUUUGCUGCUGUGUGAAUGACCUCUUACUGUUAAGACUUCUGUGGUUGUAUCUCUGUGAUCUUUUUUAUCUUUCUUUCAAGUCUCAGAUCUAUACAACGCACUACAGACUGCAUCAAAUGUGAUCGUGUCCUUCCCAUGAAGCAAUGUGGUGGUAAGAUGAUCAUAUUCAUCAGGAAGGGAAUUCAACAACAAUAAUGCCUUGUCUUCAUCUUCAAAUUUCUCAUCCAAAUUUAGCAAGUCUGCUAAAAUUUUAUUGAAUGAGUUCACAUGGUCAUUCAUCGACAUACCGGGUGCAUACGUGAAUCGAUAAAGUUUCUUUUUCAUAUAAAUCCUAUUUUCAAGACUUUUCGUUAGAAACUUUUCUUCCAGUGUAUCCCAUAACUUCUUCGCUGAUGUUUCUCUCAUGACAGAGUACUUCUGCUCUUUGGCCAAACAUAGGCGGAUUGUACCACACGCCUGUCUAUUGAUCUUGGCCCACUCUUUGUCAUCCAUCUUGUCAGGUUUUUCUUCAAGGGCUAUAUCUAGCUCUUGCUGACAUAAGACAUCCAGGAUCUCACAUUGCCACAUACCAAAAUUAUUGGUACCGUCAAAUUUCUCUACUUCAAAUUUUGCAUUUGUCACAGUAGUCCUUGCUGAUGACGAUGCUGCUGCCAUUUUUCUCCUCAAUCCCAACUACUGUAUACGUGAACAGUACCGUAUACGUGAAUAGUGCCGUAUACGUGAAUAGUACCGUAUACAUGAAUAGUGCUAUAUACGUGAAUAGUAUCGUAAACGGUCGUAUUCCCUAAGUACGAACCUGGCUCUGGUACCAAUUGUUGCGCGGAAGCGUGUGAAAGAGUAAAAUUAUUGUACUGAAAAAUCACACUAAGUUCAAUUCCCAGGAAAGAGAGGUGGAUCACGAGGAUCGCUUACAUACCAGAUCUUUCCUAGCCAGAAUAUCCCUCUAUCGUAAUUUAAUAGCACAAUAAAUCACUACAAUGACACUUGCAAAAUAUGCAGAACAAAAAAUAAAGAACACUAGAAUUUUAACGAGGUUCAGCAAAUUUUGCCUACGUCCUCGGGCACUACCAAAUAUAUUUCACUCCAAAAAUACAAGUGAAAGUUUACAAAUAGGGAGAGAGAACAAUUGCCUUAAGUAGAGAAUGGCAAGUGUGGGAUGAAGAAAGUAAGCAAUGGUUAGGCCUAUUUAUAGUUGAGGUUCAAUGAUCAACUUGCAAUGUCCCUAUACAAUUAGGGACCAAAAUUACAAUUAUCCCAUGCCAACUUUUAACCCAACUUGCCAACCAAUUUUACUUUCUACUUUUGGUGCCCACCCUUUUUGACUUUUCAAACAAUGGGUGGGUUCCAAUAAAUUCUUUCCCACCAAUGACCCACAAAGAAAAAGAUUCCCAAAAUAGCUGCUUUCAUCAAAUGUUCCCAAUUGUCCUAUCCUUUCAGGUGUUUUUCCAGAUAAAUUGUUGUUUGACACAUUGAAGUAUUGCAAGAAAUGUAACACCGCAAACUCGACAGAAAUGUUCCCUGUUAAAUUGUUGUAGGAAAGAUCUAGACUUUCUAGGUCCUUUAGGUUAGAAAACACUUGUGGGAUUGGUCCGGUCAAGCUAUUGCGAGAAAGGUUCAAUGUAAAAAGCUUCAUAAUGUUUCUUGUUUCAAAAUUAAUCUCACCAGUAACCUUGUUGUAGGAGAGAUCAAUUCCAGACAUGUAUUGAAGGAUUCUUCUCCUGUAAUGGUAGGAUCUGCUCUUUACUAUGUAUUCUAUUGGUACUUCAAUGGACUUCGCGGUAUCUAUGUCAUAACGACUAUAAUAAUACCAAAUAUAUUCCUCGGUUACGUAGUUCAUUGCAGAAACUUUUAAACAAGAAGGAAUACCACCGGACAGAUUGUUCAGAGAAAGAUCAAUCAAGCUUAAACGACCCAAAUUGCAUAAUUGAAUUGGAAUUUCUCCCUUAAAGUGGUUUCUCUUUAGGAGAAGAUAACUCAAUUCAGAAAGGUUGCCAAUCCAAUUUGGAAUGUUACCCUUAAAGUGGUUAUAGCUGAGAUCCAAUGUCACCAACGAAGAGCUAUCACGAAAAGCAUUCGGUAAUGGUCCUUGUAGCAUAUUUCUAGAUAAAUGAACUUCCCUUAGCGAUACAGGCUUGAAGCAAGAUGGUAGAGUCCCUGAGAAAUUGUUCAUGGAAAGGUCCAAAAAUAUAAGUCCUUCAUUGAGAUUGCAAAUCGCCCUUGGUAUUGAACCUUCAAGUUGAUUAUCUGCCAUGGCAAGUUGUUCCAAAGGUAAAGCAUUUCCCCUCCAUUGUGGAAACCUACCAAAGAGUAGGUUUCUGCUCAUAUCCAAUGCUAUCAACCUUGACAUAUUCCCAAUCCAACUUGGUAUCUCACCGAAGAGAUAGUUAUUGCUAAGAUCAAGUAAAUACAAAUCAGAGCAGUUAGCCAAUACAUUAGGGAUCACCCCAGUGAAGUUAUUUCCAUCUAAUCGUACCUCAGAGAGGCUCAUUAGGCUAAAAUUUCCAGAGAAAAUAACUCAUUGCAAUGUGUUAUUUGAUAAUGCAAGGAACUCUAAUAAGGAGCAACCCGUAGCCAUGUGCUCAGGUAUCCCUCCAGACAAAUGGUUGUUUGAUAAGUCCAAACCUUGCAGUGAACUCAUAUCACCAAAUGAAGAGGGAAUGCGACCACUGAAAUAAUUUUGUGACAUGUUCAGAGUCUUCAACAAUGGUAGAUGUGCUCCAAUUCUUUCUGGAAUGUUGCCACCAAAGGCAUUGUUGGAGAUAUCCAAAUUCGAUAAAGCCAAAUGCGCACGCGAUGUCAGUUGAAAAGGCCCUAAUAGAGAGCAAUUCACGAGAUGCAGUAACUCUAGCUUCGUGUUGUUUUCCAACAACCAAAAAGGGAAUUGAUCCACCUUGAAGAAAUGUAUUUCUGAGAGAGUAACACCCUGUAAGUUACUUUGAUGGUAAAAGAAAUAUGGAAAUGACCCACCACUUCCACAACAAGAAAAACUGAUGUAACUCAACUGGAACCUUGGGGCCAAAGAAUUGAGCAUCUCAUGAUCAUCGGCAUGUAUGUUGUUGUUGUCUCCUCUGAUAAACUUGAGUCUUGAAAGGUUGAACAAGGGUCCUAAUGAGCUUGGGAUGUGAAAU